rnacentral:lncRNA from 1 species
CAAAAGUCUAGAACUCUAGUUCCAACUCCUUUUGGAACUUUGUUUUGAUCCGAAUUGAUUUCAAUUCGAUUUAAACUCAGCAUAGGCUUCUCUAAACCCAUUUUAAUCAUGUCUAGCAUGAUUUAAUCCAUAUUCUAUCAAUUUAGCCAAAAUUCAAUAUGUUACAAUACAAGAAAAUGUAGCUUUUUGGAUAGUAAUACCAAAAGAAGUAGAGAAAUUUGAAGAGCUUGCAAAACUAGAAGGGUUAGCUCUUUAUUGCAAAACUUGAUGGAAUUCUACAUAUGUUAUGUUAGAGAAAGUUUUGAUAUAUAAAGAUAUCUUCCCUUGAUUAAGGCUACGUGUAGGGCUGACAAAUGAGCGAGUCGGCUCGUGUUUGACUCGUGUUCGGCUCGAUAUUCGGCUCGCUCGAGCUCGGCUUGAAUUAAUUUCAAACGAGCUUGAGCCUAAAUUUAGGCUCGAAAUUAACUUCAAGCCGAGCUUGAGUAUUAUUCGGCUCGCUCGAAUUAGGCUGUAAAAGCUCAAAAUAUAUAUACAUAUAUAUAGAGAGAGUUGAGCUAGAAUACUCCCAGGGUUGAGUGAGUGGUUGGUUGAAUAGUAUAAUCUAACGGAUAAAAAUAAUCAAAAGAGUUAAUCUAACGGCAGAAAACUUGAUAGCACGAAGUGCUUGGUGUCUCUCUCUCUCUCUCUCUCUCUCUCUCUCUCUCUCUCUCUCAGACCGACCCUAUGAUAGUUAUCGUGGUACGUAAACCACGAUAGUUCAAAAGGCGGUAAUCUAAAUUGGGAAACUGAUAAAAGUAGGCAAUCUAAUAUGAUAAUUUGGUUGUUGAGUGAGUUGGGAUCCCCCGGGUGUAGUAGGAUUGGCAUAUAAAAAAUUAGGUUCCCAGUUUUUGGAUUAUCGUGUUUUACGAACCACGAUAACUAUCACGAUAUAUCAGGCCGACGAUACGAUAGCUAUUNUCUCUCUCUCUCUCUCUCUCUCUCUCUCUCUAUAUAUAUAUAUAUAUAUAUAGAAUUGAGCUAGAAUACUUUUAAAAGUAUCACCUCAUUGGUGCUUUUAGGUUUCUAGCCCUUGGAUCUACUCCUUCAUUAGUAAUAGCCCUUGGAUCAAACACUAUUCCACCUACCACCACCUACCACCAUCAUCACAACCUUACAUUCCUCCAUCCAAUGGUUAAAAACUCAAAAGCAUCACCUCAUUGGUGCUUUUGAAUGUAUUCUAGCUCAACUCUAUAUAUAUAUAUAUAUAUAUAGAAUUGAGCUAGAAUACUUUUAGAAGCACCAACCACUUGGUGCUUCUAAGUUUCUAGCCAUUGGAUCUACUCCUUAAUUACUAAUAGCUUUUGGAUCAAACACUAUUUUAUCUACCACCAUCAUCUCAACCCUACAUCUCUCCAUCCAAUGGCUAAAAACUCAAAAGCACCAACCCCUUGGUGCUUUUGAGAGUAUUCUAGCUCAACUCUCUCUCUCUCUCUCUCUCUCUCUCUCUCUCUAUAUUAUAGUAUAUAUAUAUAUAUUAUAUAUAUAUAUAUAUAUAUAUAUAUAUAUAUAUAUAUACAGUCCGACUAUAUAUUAUUAUACUAUCGAUAAUACUAAGCGUUUUAUACUUUUGAGUUUUCUGCCGUUAGAUCAACCUAUAUAUAUAUGGAGUCCGGCUACUAUACUAUCAAUAGCACCAAGCAUUUGGUGCUAUCGAGUUUUCUACAGUUAGAUAUAUUCCUUUGGUCAUUUUCAUCCGUUAGAUCAUACUAUUCAACUAGCCACCCACUCAACUCUAGGAGGCUACUAUCAUCCUGACCGCACAUCCCUUCAUCUAAGGGCCAAAAACCUAAUAGCAAGCGAUUUGUACUAUUAAUAAUAUAGUAGUCUAAUUAUAUAUAUAUGAACUAGGCUACUAUACUAUUAAUAGCAACAAGUCAUUGGUGCUACCAAGUUUUGGCCAUUGGAUUAAGAGAUGUGCGGUUAGGAUGAUGUGAGCCCCCUAGGGUUGAGUGAGUGGUUGGUUGAAUAGUAUGAUCUAACGGGUGAAAAUGAUCAAAAGCGUAGAUCUAACGGCGGAAGACUUGGUAGCACCAAGUGCUUCGUGCUAUUAAUAGCAUAGUAGCCGAACUCUAUAUAUAUAUAUAUAUAUAUAUAUAGAACUAGGCUAAUAUACUAUUAAUAGCACCAAGUCAUUGGUGCUACCAAGUUUUUGGCAAUUGGAUUAAGAGAUAUGCGGUUAGGAUGAUGUGGGCCCCCUAGGGUUGAGUGGGUGGUUGGUUGAAUGGUAUGAUCUAACGGGUGAAAAUGAUCAAAAUGGUAGAUCUAACGGCGGAAAACUUGGUAGCACCAAGUGCUUCGUGCUAUUAAUAGCAUAGUAGCCGGACUUUCUCUCUCUCUAAAUAUAUAUAUAGGUCCCGGCUACUAUACUUUUAUAAGUAUAGACCCAUUUAUCCUUAUUAAUUUUCAGCCGUUGGAUGUGCAAUUAGGAUGAUAGUGGUCCCCUAAGAUUGAGUGGGUAGUUCGUUCAAUAGUAUGAUUUAACGGAUGAAAAUGAUCAAAAGGAUAAAUCUAAAGGUCGAAAACUUAUGAGUAUAAAGGGAUUUAUAAACCAACAAAAUCCUACUGUAAUUGCUCUCUUUCUCUCUUUUUCACUUCCUCGCAGAGUCACUUUUCCUAAUUUUUUUAAUACUAUAAUAUCGUAUUUUAUGUAUUCAUUUUUGUAUGUUGAACUAUUAGAUAUUUUUAAUAUCAAAUUUUAGAUAAUGUUUAAUAAAAAUUAAACUAUAAAUUGCACGAUGUUAAGAAUUUCAAGCGGCUCGUUUAGGGCUCGAGCUCGCUUGACUCAAAGUUAGGCUCGCUCGAGCUCAGCUCGAAUUAAUUUCAAGCCAAGCUUGAGCCUAAAUUUAGGCUCAAAAUUAAUUUCAAGCCAAGCUUGAGCUGAGGUAAGCUCGCUCGAGCUCGGCUCGUUUCCACCCCUAGCUACGUGAUUUUAAUUAUAAUAUUUGCCAAUUGAGGAGGAGUGAUGUAGAGCCAAAAAUAUUUGUUGCAAAUUGGAGGUCUUUUGCAAUAUUAUAUUUCUAUUUUCGGAGACUAAGUAUUUGACGGCGAAUCAAUAUUUUCAUUACAUUUGUAGAAUUUGAUCAAAAUUUGUAGGAUUGACUCUCUAUUUUCAAGCGAUCUAAUGAGAUCAAUGGCGAAAAAGAUGUUGGCAAAAUUCAACAAGUCUUUAUUAGUGAUUCAUGAAAUUAUGUGAGUUGUGUGUUUAUUGGAUAUAAAUUUACAAUGUUGGAGACUGUUUAUAAUAAAGUCAAUGAAAAUACAAGUAAUGAAGUUCAAAGAAUUCAUAACAUAUGUUAUAAUUUAUUUUGAAAGUACUAAAGUCAAAGUAGAGAAGAUCUAUUUCAAAGCUUAUUUUCAGCUGUGACAAACACUUUUAUAUCUCAUACAUCUAGCACUUCAAACUUUUUAAAAAUUUAGUACUCUUGCUGCCAUUAAGAGAAAAACUAAUUUGUUACUGAAGUCAGAGUUAUAUAUCUAAUUAGAUAAGUAUAUAUUGCUAAGGACAGAAAAUUUUGAUAUUUUGAGAUGAUAGAGGAAUAAUGGACUAAACUAUCCUACAUUACAAGUGAUUGUAAAAGGAUAUUUUUACCAUUCCAAUAUUCAUAGUAGUUUUACAAUUUACAUUUAGUAUUGAUGGUAAAAUUAUGAAUCCAUAUAGGAGUAGGCUCUCUUUUAAAACUUUAGAACCUCUAAUGUAUGUAAGAAAUUGGUUGUACGUUGGAUUAGCAAGUAAAUCAAUUGUUUAUAUUAUUUUCAAUUUUUUGUAUAUUAUGCUAUAUAUUUUUUUCUACUAUAAAUCAAAUCAUUUGUUCUUGUUUUUUAAGUAUGUACUUCAAAUGGGAUAAGUUUUUCUUAGUUUGGCAAACUUGAUGAUAGCUAGAUUUUGAGAAUUCGGUAUAUGAUUUAAUUCUUUAUUUUUUAUAUUAAAUUAAUGGCCAAUUUGCAUAAAAAAUUCAUAAGUUUUGAGCUUUUGCAAAAUUAGGCCGCCUUUUUCAAUUUUGCAUAUUUAGUUCGGAUUUUCAACAAACUAACCAAAAUAUUCUUAUAGCUUUUUCCCUCUCCUUUUUUUUUUUUUUUUUCUAGCUUUNUCUUUUUUUUUUUUUUUUUCUAGCGUUCUUUUUUUUUUCUGCAAAGAAGGUGGUAGAGGCGGAAACGGCCCGCCUCGCCUCUACCCCUCACGCCCUCGCCCGCUCAUCCCCCGCCCUUCUUACCUCCGACCCCACCGAGGCCGCGCAGCGACUUUCUCUUCUUCUUUUUUCUCUCCGACUCUCCUCCAAUGCCUCCACGGCCCUCCGCGAUGAUAGCGAGGACGGUAUCGCGUCCUCUUCCUCCGCCUUCGCCCUCCACCUCCACUACAGCAUAUUUUCUAUCUACCAAAUAAACCCGUCGUCCCCGCCGCCGUCGCAGGCGAUGAAGAAAAAAUGCUUCUUCGGGCCGAGAGAAAAAUAGUUACACUCCGGCGAAGGCGGUGGCUGCGAUAAAGGAUAAGGGAGAGGUCGUGACUAGAAAAAAUUAUAGAGAGAAAAAAAAAAGAAUAAUAAAAAAUAAAAAAAAAAUUUUCUACAGAAAAGAUCAACAAUCAUAAAAGAAGGAAGAAAAUGAUGAAAUUGCAAUGUUAAAAUAAAGUUACACUAUUUUAAAAAAAUUUACACUGUUUUAAAUGAAAGUUGUACUCUUUGAGACAGAAAUUACACUCUUUGGGAUAAGAGUUACACUCUUUAUGCUAAAGUUGCACUCUUUGGGUAAAAUUUACACUAUUUCCCCUCCACUUUCUCGUCUUCCUCCUUCUUCCUCCUCCUCCUUCUUCUUUCUCCUCUUCUUUUUCCUUCUUCUCAGCUCGCCACUGCCGCCGUCAUCGUACAUGCCCUCGCCACCGCCGCCAUUAACCCCUCCACCCUCGAAGCCCUCAUCCGCUCCCCAUCUAUGAUCCUCCGCGUCAUCCUUCACCGCAGCCUCAACUGCUCCCUCAAUGCCCACUUCCUCCCCCACCGCGCUAUUCGUUCUCGCGCCGUCGCAAUGUGCGACGACGACGUUGCCCUCCCCCCUACGCGCCCUCGCCCGCUCCCGCUCCUGCUCUCGCUCCACCCUCGUCGGCUCUUCGGCCGCGCCUACGACCUCGACCCCGCGAGCCGCGACCGCUACUCCAUCCUCCUCGCGCCACUCCUCUCCCGCUACAGUUGUGCCCCCGAUCUCGCCCCCGCGCACCGCGACGUCGACCGCGUGCGCAACUGCAAGGACAUACUCAUGAGCUUCAUCGCCGCUAUGGAUGGCGCGGAGCUCGUGCUUGUCGAGGGCAAUGAGGUGCGGGACUAGGGCGAUCCCGGGAACCGGCCUCGCUGCCGACAGAGGGGCGGUUGCAGCUAUGGAUGGGCGGCGGCGGCUGUAGCUAUGACGACCACGACGGUGGCAAGUACGAACUGAAGAGGAAUGGGGAAGAGAAGAAGGAAGAAAGAGGAGGAGGACGACGACGAGAAAGCAGAGGGCAGGGACGAGGAGGAAGAAGAAGAGAAAGAGAAAUUGUGUAAAUUUUACCCAAAGAGUAUAUUUUUCGCCUAAAAUAGUGUAACUCUCAUUCCAAAGAGUGUAAUUUCUGUCUCAAAAAGUACAACUUUUAUUUAAAACAGUGCAAAUUUUUUUUAAAAUAGUAUAACUUUAUUUUAACAAUGCAAUUUCAUCAUCUCCUUCCUUCUUCUAUGAUUUUUGAUCUUUUCUAUAGGAAAAUUAUAUAUUUUUUAUUUUUUUAUUCUUAUAUUUUUUCUAUAAUUUUUUUGGUCACGACCUCUCCCUUGCUCUAUAUUGCCGGAGUGUAACUAUUUUUCUCUUUCUCCCUUGCCGACGUACUUCUCGGCCACAAGAAGCACGUCCGCUUCGUCGCCGGUGGCGGUGAUAGGGACGGUGGGUUUGUUUAGUGGGUAAAAAAUCUGCUGCAGUGGAAGUAGAGGGCGAAGGCGGAGGAAGAGAACGCGGAACCGUCCUCGCUAUUGUUGCGGAAGGCUAUAGAAACGGUGGAGGAGGGUCGGAGAGAAAAAAAAAGAGAGAGAGAAAAAGAUAUAAGAGUAUUUUGGUCAGUUUACUGAAAAUUCGAACCGAAUCUGCAAAAUCGAAAAAGAGGCCUAGUUUUGCAAAAGCUCAAAACUUGUCGAUUUUUAUGCAAAUUGGCCUAAAUUAAUUUGUGAUCUUAAUUGUAAUAUUAUUUUUUAACAAUUUUGGGUUAGCAUGGUUUGUGGUUUAGGAAACCAUGGUCAUGAGAUGAUGUCUCUUUUAUUGCAUGAAAAGUGGCAAAGUGGUAGAGUUCUUUUAUACUAUUACCAAGAAUUCUAUUGUUGUAAACUUGUUUUUAUUUAUGAAUCAUUAUCUAUUAUUUAAACUUUAUAAUCUUAUUAUCACAGACAUGCUAGAUUUAAACUUUGUAAUAUUAUUGUAUUGUCUUUGAUAUAAUUAGUUGUUGUAGUUGACAUUCAUAAAUACUUUUUAAUGUUGUUGUUGUCGUCAAUUUGUGAUUACAGAGAAAUUUCGUUAUUAUUCGAAUAAUUUUUUUUGUCAUUGAUGGAGUACUAUAUUUUUUAAUGUUGUUGUUAUUGUUGUUGUUCUAGCAGAUUUUUGUAUCGUUUGCACUUUUUUUAUUGAUGUACGGAUGUUUCAAACUUUUGAAUUUUUUUGCGAAUUGAUAUUUUUCACUUUUAUAGUUGGUGUUGUUAAUUUUUUUUUCAGAGAAAAGUUGAUGUUGUUAAUUAUAUAUAACUUUUAUAUUUGUUGUUACUAUUAUUUGUUGAUACUUUUGAGAGAAAAGUUGAGAAAAGUUGAUGUUGUUAUAUAUAAUUAACAAAAGUUAUAUAUAGUUGUUAAUUAUAUAUAACUUUUAUAUUUGUUGAUGCUAUUAUUCAUUAAUAUUAAAAAAUUUAUUAAUUUGCAUUUACAAAAUGUUGAUAAUAUUAAAACUUGUAAAAAAAAUAAAUUAGCUGGCAGGGCAGAUUCAUGGCACAGAUAGGUGUGUUGAGGAGGGAGGGGGUCGAUUAUGAGAUAUUUUUGACCUAUCAAAAAUUCAGUGCAAGAGUCGAUGAAACUUUUGAAGGGUGGACAAGAGACUGGUUAUGUAGAUAUGGAGACUUUGUGUUGGAUUGUCAACAUAAUUGGUUGAGCCAGUGGAUCUCUGUUUGUGGCAUUAGGAGUGUCGAUGUUAUACCCCAAGUCCCGCCAAUUGGGCCCGCUCAAGCACAUACAACAAACCCGCCGAACUGGCAAGAUUCUUCCUACCCACACAAAGCAGAAUCAUACACCAACUUAUACAACAAAUACAUUAUAUAGUUACAAUAGAGCAUUAGAGUAAAUAAUUUCUAAAAUUACAACUAUUACAAAUUUGAAACUUUUUAAAAAUUGAUAACACUUUAAUUCCCAAAAUGAUACAUUCUUUUGAUUAUACAAAAUGGUACCCUCUAGACCAACUCAGUACGAUCUAACUAGCUCACGACACCCUUAUUGCGAACUUGCGCCUCGCUAGAGAUGUCAACGGGUCGGAUUCAGGGCGGAUUUUCAAAAGCCCGAACCCGAACCUGAUUCCAAAGCCGAGAACCAAACGCGAAGCCGAACCUGACAGAUUUUAAGAAUCCAUAUCCAAACCCGAACCCGACCAAAAAUCCGAAACCCGAAUCCAAACCCGAACCCGAAAAUUUGAACCCGAAACAAUUAUUUCUUUUUUCAAUAUUUCAAAAUAUAUUAUAUUAAAUCUAAAAUUUUAAAAUACAAGUUCAAAUAUAACAUCAAUUUAUAUAUAUAUAUAUAUAUAUAUAUAUAUAUAUAUAAAAUACAAAUAAAUUCGGGUUCGGGUUCGGGUUUGGGUCGGGUACAGUCAAAAUCCAUAUCCGAAUCCAUAUCCAUCGAGUUUCUAUUUUUGAUUUCCAUAUCCGAAUCCAUAUCCAUUUAGCAUCGGAUAUAUCCGUUUCAUUCGGGUUCGGGUUCGAAUAAAAUUUCGAGUAUUCAUACCUAUUCACAUCCCUAAUCAAUAGAGUGAGAAUUGGAAAUAAGUUCUCAGUGGGUGCAACCGCCGAAAGUGGUGCUGUCACGCCCCGGAUUACUUGUUUCCUCGGGCUCGCUAACAGACCCGCCGCAUACAUAGGUAUUUUUCCUGUAUACGAAGCGAAAAGUAGAAGUACCAGUAAUCAUACAAUACCACAAAUAGUANCGGGCUCGCUAACAGACCCGCCGUAUACAUAGGUAUUUUCCCUGUAUACGAAGCGAAAAAGUAGUACCUGUAAUCAUACAAUACUACAGACAGAAGUAUAGAGCAGCUAGGAGAAUAAACCAUAUAUAAAAACCGCAGUUCAAGACAUACAUGUCAUCUAGGUAUACAAACACUCGCUCUGGCGAGAAAACAACCACUGCAUGUAAAGACCCAAAAAGUACAACUACCUGUAGUUGGCGCUCCUCUAGCUCUGCGACUCGACUGGAAGGGCUCUGACUCGCGACGCCCUUGGCACGAUCAAGAUCAGCAACAGCAGCAGCCGAAGGCGACGGCUCUGCAAAAACAGUGGCAACAACUGGGUGUGAGAACUACUACAAAAUAAAGUAGUCCUCAGUGGGUACCGCCCUCGAACUCAUCGGCUCACCCACUAAGUCUACAGAUCUAAGCUCAGUGAUAGAAAAGGAAGUUGGAACAAAUCCACAGCUAUAUGCCACUAUCCUAUCAUGAUCCAAUACUACUAUUUGUAGAGUAAUGCAGCCUCAUACCCAAAUCCAUAAGGACUGUGAAUACACCUAUCCCAGGGACUGUGAACGUACCCGUCCCGCCUGUCGAAUCCUAAAUGCUACCUCCACACUAAUCAGUCCAUGGAGAGCAAGUCCAACCAGGACACUAUACAACGCAAACGCAUAAAGCACGACUCCGGAGUGGCAUUCGUAGACGCUACCCAACCGAGUAUGCAAGCGUAUCUCUACUGAACUCAAUCAGGCUCUCACAGGCUAUAAUCAAGUACACAGGGUCCAACUGGUCUAACAACCAAAACUCACGUGCCCUCGGCACAAACUGAUGCAAAACUCGCAAUCUGGGUUCACCGUCAACCUCGACGGCACCCGAUAGUCUAAAACAGCCUAGACACUGCUGUAAAAAUAAGCUUUGCAUCUCCGCACGAGCGUAACUGCAUUCUACACUAUUCCGGGUAUCCACCGCCAAUAAACUGCGGUGAUACAGAUCUACUACAGCUCCUAAGCUUUCAGCGUAUCAAAUGCACACAACAGUGUGGAUACUAUCCGCGAUAAUUUCCGAAACUGUCUGAGUAUCAAAUGUGCACUAACAGCGGGGAUACGAAGCAUAACAGCUUCAGAAGCUAUCUGAGUAUCAAAUGCGCACUAACAGCGGGGAUACGAAGCACAAAAACUUAAGGAGCGAACAGAAAAAACAGUAUAAAACCUACAGUUAAAUAUUACCCAAGCUCGGCAUCCUGCCAGAGUGUAAAUGCAUUCUAAACUACUCUGAGUAUCCACCGCGCUGAAACUGCGGUGAUACAAACCAACCCCGGCUCCUAGAGCUAAAUUAGGUAGUUUAAGCAUAUGACGAGUUAAAAUCGCUGGUUUUCUCCUAAGUCAAGUUUCAAGUCCAACAUGUAUAUUCAUCUAAUUAAAUAGUCAUGCUCCCAAUUCAAAUUUCAUACAUGCUACAAUCAAUGAAUUUGAGCUACAAUAUGAUAUACAAGAAUCGAAAUCAUACAUGUCGACUACACAAGCACCUAGGAGCAAAACCGAUGAAACACCCACCUCAAAUGCAAUUCCUGGCAGCAAGGAGGUCUCGAACCACUAAGAAUUCCUGCUGGAUCUACCGAAGUUCCUCCAAGUCCAGCAACAAGAGAUCAACAAACUCCAAACCUUAACAAGAUUAAAAUCCAUCAAUACAACUAUAAUUUCAGCACUUAAGCUUAAUUAACCCAACUCCAAUAUCAAAACUCACCUAAUCACAUCCAAAUCUAGUGAGGAGGGUCUCAAAUCCAGUGGAGUAUACUGAAAUGUCAGGCUCAGGUCCAAAAUCCCCCUGCCUCCAAAGAUAGCAUCACAGAAAACUCAUAAACUUGAGAAUCUGCCUAAAACAACAGCAGCAGAGAAGAACUUGAGUUCGACCAAGCUAACCUUCACCAAAAUCUACAAUAUUGGACUUCGUGGAUUCCUCUUGAAGUCUAGAAUCCAACAAACCAAGUUUCACCACAAUACGACCUUCCUACGUCGCACACGAGCUAAAACACUAAGGUCGUCGCUGGAAAACUGCAGAAUAUGCACUCCUCAAGCUGAAUUUGUGGACUUUUGAUGCAAUUUGAGUGAUUUGGAGGGGUUGGAAUGCAAUUGUAAGCUUUCCUGUGAGAAAGAGAGGAAAAGAGCUUACUAGGGGCAUCUCCGACCUAUUUAUAGGGUGAUCAAACGGUCAGAUAAGCCUCAGGAACAUUAGAUACAAACCUACACUGCUGUAGAAAAAUCAAGUUCUGGGUGCCCUAAACCAAGUUCUGGGCGCCCAGAACUUCCAGCCUGUACAAACAGCCCUCUUCGGUUCCUCCGCCAGCGGUGUGCUGCACCCUUAUCCUGGUCCGGCGGACCUCACCUACCACAAACACGUGUCAACGCCAGCGAUAUUUCCAAAGUAAACUUCUGAACCCACUUCUGGGCGCCCGGAACAGGAUCCGAAUUGGCUUCUAGUUUGCUCAAACCAGCACUCAAGAUCUGAGUGCCCUAAACCAAGUUCUGGGUGCCCUAAACUGGCAAAACUUCAGUUUUGCUUAUUUGAGUGCGCCAAAUCCAUAUUUUGCACCCAUUUCGUGCAGAAAUGACUCCGACUCAGUCCGACACUCUCCAAAUGUGUCGACCAGUCACUAACACUGAAGCCAAUCCUAUCCAAACCUCUAGAACACUACAGGUGCUCUACACUCACUUGGUCCAAAAAAGGCAUUAGUAGAAUAAUAGCAAUAAUGAAUCUAUUACUGCCACAAUAAUAAUGCAUAAAAGGAAAAAUAUAACUAUUAUGCCUCAAAUAUAAAUAAUAUACCACAAUAAUUUAUUAUGUCAUUGGCCUACAUGAUUAUCCCAAUCUUUUCUUAUCACUGAUCAAUCACUUGGUUUGGUCUUAUUUCUUACUAUACAACUCAUGGAAAGUCAGGUGAUUGGCAUCUCUCUAAUCGGUAGGUACUUGGAGUCGAGGGUGAUCGACAUCUCUAAGUACAAUAAAGGGAGUCGAGUGUGAUCAACAUCUCCCGAUAUGGAGUAGGGAGUCAAUGGUGAUCGACAUCUCCCGUUUUGACACUUUUGGAAGGUCACGAUUAGUAUCUGAAUUGCAACCUAAGUUCUCAUAACUUUUAGGAUAAAUCACAAAGUUUAUCUACAUAUUUUCUUAUGUUAUAGCUCAUUUUUGUUUAGAGUUCAUAUGUCUCUAUGUUGUACACCCUAGGUUUUAUUUUAGGUUUAAUAUUAUUAUGAUAUCAUCUAUGUUUCAAGAUUCACAAAAUAUUCCAUCUCUGCAUACAACAUGUGCCUUCACUAUAUACAUGGCAAAUAGGUAGAAAACCCUACUUUCUAGGUCAAGUACUCCCAUAUCCACAAGACCUCUCAAAUCUAAUUACUUACGUAUGAGUCAUAUUUUAGUCUAUACUUUAUAAAAAUGCACGCUUAUGAACUAAGAAAUGUUUAGACAAAGGGGAAUUAAACCUAUUUCGGUAAUAUUUCCUACCUCUGCUUGGAUUCUUACUUAUAGAUGGUUCUUGAUCUCUUUAGAAUUUUAAGAAAAUCCUUAAAAAAGUUCUAAUAAAGUUAGAACCUAAAAUCUCCUAUUUGGAAAACCCUCGAAAAUAAACUCCAAAAAUAUCAACUCAUCUCUACUCCUUCUAGCAAGAAAAGGAUGGGUUGAGAGAGUUGCCUUCUCCCUCCUAGAGUUUAUCCUUGAUGCUUUAUAUAUCCUCCAAGCUUCUAAAGAGAUGGAUCUCAAAGAUCUCUUCAAAGGAAAACCUAGGAUUUUUUUUUCUAGAGAGAGAAAGAAGAGAGUGAAAGAGAAAAUGAGAGUAAGGAGAGGGGCUGUGGCUAUAAGAGGGCAUUUAUAAAAGUGCUACAAUUGCACUUAAACCUGUCGUUCAUUUGUAUUUAAAAGUAAAAGAACCAUUGUCUCUGCGCUAGGUUUCAAGCAUCUGCCUAAACUUUUGGGCACUACAAAGCUAUGUAGUAGCGCCCAUUCGGUGACUCGGACGAUAGCCCAAUCUGCUCGAAACACAUUUCGAGUGCUUGUAGGGGAGACGAAACAUCCGAUUGUUCUAUGCGGUGCAUGUCCAAUCCUUUUGGGUUGAGCGUUAGGAAAGUAUUCAGACACCCGUCGAUCCAUUUGGGACAUUUUUCGGAUGCCAGCAAAGACAUUUGGUCGCCCGAAUAUUCAUUCCUUCGCACACAUGAGCUCUCAGGUAGAGCAUCUGAAAGGGGUUCGGACUAGGGAUGCAAAUGGAUCCAGGUUGGUGGAGCUCCCACCCCGAUCCGCCCCAAAUAGGGGAGCAAAAAAUAUAGAAAAAUAUAACUUACCCCGAAUCCGCUCUGAUCCGCCAAAUAAAUAGAGCGGAAGGCAGGAGACCAUUUUCUUCCUUCAAUUCGUCCUGAUCCAUCAAAAAUCUGCCAAAAAUCCGCUCCCGCUCUGAUUCACCCUGAAUAUGGCAGUAAGUGGGAGCCAAAAAUAAAAUAAAAAAUAAUCUAUCCCGAAUCCAUCCCGUCCCAACAAGAAAUAGAGCGGAAGCUGGGAGAACCCUCCCGUCCCCGAAUCCGCCCCGUUUGCAUCCCUACUUCGGACGCCCGCCGGACCACUUGGAAGGGUUUCAAACAUCUGAAAGCCAACCCUCCCGCAAAUCCAACUCUUGGGUAGAGCGUCCGUUUGAAUCUAGGUGCUCGGUUUGAAAGUUUUGAGAGCCCGAAGUUUUGUUUUCGGCGUUCGAAAAGUCUGGAACUCAAGUUCCACUUUUUUGGAAAAUCCGAAUUGAUUUCAAUUUGAUUCAAACUUAGCUUACAAUUCUCCAAGCCCAUUUCAAUUAUGUCUAACAUGACUUUAAUCCACACUUUGUCAAUUUGAUUAAAUUUCAGUGCAUUACAGUCCAGUAUUAUGCAUGGAGCAUAGUUAUGAGCAUCCUAGUGUAGGUUGAUUAUACAUGCGAUGCUAGUUGGUAACAGCUUAGGAUCAUAUCCUUACUCACCUGAAACUUAUUUUUAGUGUUUUGCAAGCAAGACUAGUUAAUGCAUCUAGAGCGGACUGCGGGGUAAAGAUAAUACAAUUACAUGUACUUUGCAUUUAGUUAUAGCUUUUCAUAUUGUGCUGAUUUAUGUUAUUGUGCAUGCAUAGCUCGAUAUUCUAUUACAAAGCUCUAAUUUACUCUUGAAUAUUAGUAGAUAUAGAUGUAGGCUGCCUUAAAGCCUUACAACUUAAUAGGAUUCAAUUUUGAAAUUUUAAAUUUAAUCAUAUGGAGAUGCCACUAUUGUGGCUCGAACUGAGGGGUGGUUUGGGUUGUGACAGGUAUUGCGAAGGAGACAAAGCAGAUCAAGUUUCGUCAUCGCCCUCUCGCUCGUGAGGAGCACCACGACAUGGACACUGCAGGAGAGUUGGUACGGAGGUGGCGGGGGUAGGAAGAGCCUGUGAGACAAUAGACGGGUGAGAGUUGUGAGGAAAGCCAGAGGAGGGAAAGAUGGGAGAACAACUUAUUUUAGAGCAGAGUAAUUUCGGUUAAAUUUCUGAAUAUUUAAAUGUAAAAUAUAAAAUCUUAAAAAAGAAUUCAAUUAUUCAAAUAUACAAAAUUUAAAACCAAAAAAUUUAUUUAUACAAAGAGGUUAUUUUCUUAUUAUCUAUAAAUAUUAUAAUGACAUUUAUUCCUAAAAUUUACCCACGACCUUCCAACGAACUGUCAAAAUCCCAUCACGACCGUCCGUUUCACCAAACCCCGCACGUCCUUCUUAGACAAAUUCCUCUCCGGACCCUCAACUUUUCGUUCCGAAUCCUUCGACCCUUACUUUUUUACACUUCAUGACUUCAAGGAUGAUAUUGAGAUUAUUAAACCUUACAGGGAGUCGUACGUAAAAAUCCCCCCAAAGUCGAUCCUUCCCUUUCCUCUCUUCCCCCUCCCCCCUCUCUCUCUCUCUCUCUCCUCCUCCGAAAGCUUUUCUGGGUUCCCGUUCGGAUUAGGGUUAGGGUUAAGGCUAGGGUUUCUCCGAUCCCUCUCACGUUCUCGUCUUCUCCGUCUCCUCGAUCUCUCCCCGCCGCUCAACGCGGCGGAUGAGCCCCGGCGCUCCUUCGCGCUCGAUCUGACGCGAUUCGCUCCCGCGAUGUUCCGAUUCGAGGAGGAGAAGGUGCGGAAGUGGCGCUCGGAUCCGGUCGAGGGUAGGUAGCGGAGGCGGGAUCUCUAAACGUAGUUUCUCUGCUGCGGCGGCGCCGCCGCCAUGGCCGACAUGUCGUCCAUAAUCCCGGCGUCGGUUAUCCGGAACCUCUCCGAUAAGCUCUACGAGAAGCGGAAGAAUGCGGCGCUCGAGGUACUCAUCCAUCCUUCUUCUGAUGAUUAGGGCUCCGUUUGGGGGGAUAUUUGUUGGGUUUUGAUCUGAAUUUGGGGGUAACAUUGGUGGUGGACGACAACAGAUUGAGGGCAUCGUGAAGCAGCUUGCGGUCGCAGGGGAGCAUGAGAAGAUAUCGGCCGUGAUUAAUCUGUUGACGACGGAAUUCACCAAUUCCCCGCAGGCGAAUCAUAGGAAGGUUCGUUGUUGAUGGUUUUUCUUUAGAAUCUGAGGUGGCUAUUAGAAUGAUAUAUAUCAUUUUCUUUGGUGUUUCUGAUGAUUUUUAGUGGAUUUGAUUUUAUAAAAAAAUGUUAAAUUUGUAUUUUCUAUUAUUAUAGGGUGGAUUAAUUGGGUUAGCCGCAGCAACUGUUGGUUUGACAAAAGAAGCAGGGAUAUAUCUUGAGGUUAGUGGACAAAAUAUGACUUAUACAGGCUUACGGAGCUUCUUUGAAAUGAUUUGUGGAGCAACUGAUGAAGUUGGACCACUUUUGGCGAAAUUUGUUUACUAGCAAGUGUUUAUACUGUUGUAAGUGCUAAUUGUUUGCAUCAAGAACAAGAAAACUGUCAUGAUUUUAUUAAAAGGCUAAGUCGAACAAAUGCAUGUAUAUUCAAAUUAGAUGCUGUCGGAUAUAUACAUCAAGGGAAUGUUGGCGAAAACUGUGGAGCCUACUUAAACUAUGAAACCAUGCUUUCUAAAAGUUCAAUUGUAAUAUUCAAGUAAUUAAAAGAACCUGUUGUGGGACUCAUAUGGUUUUUAAAUCUUUCUCAAAUGGAUAAAAUGCAAUUAUUUUGAAUCAGAAUUCUACUGUAUUUAUUAUGAAGUGCACCCUACAAUCCAUUCAAAUAUUUGGAUUCCUCUAAUAUUCCAAUCUUAUUAACUCAUUUAUGAAGAAAAACCUAUUAUCCUAAUUAUAUAAUUAGAAUUUUAAUCUCCCUUAAAAUUAAAUCUAGUUUCUGCAUACUGAACUCAGUGGCCAUAAUUCGGAAGCAAUACAUGAAUCUUCCAUUAGUGAGCUAAUCCUCUAAGAAAACAAACCUGCCAAAACCGUACAACUCAAUCAGAGUUCAACUAGAACCAAAUAAAAACACAAUGGAAUAAAUAAAAGUGAAAUAAAAAAUUCAAAUCAAAACGUCAUCAAAUUUUCUUGGCUGCAUCAUACUACUAUAUGAUUUCUUCUUUUUUUUUUAAGCUGUGCUUUACAAGUGUGUUCAUGUAUUCUUUUCUUUUUCAACAUUAAAGUGUGAGAGUGGUGCUAAUAACCUCUAAACAUUUAAAAGAAAUAUAUUGAUUUGCCCUACAACUGAAGGUUGCUUGAUUCGCAUCUUGGAUAUGAAUUUUCUUGACGUUCAGAUGAAAUUCUGUCUCUAGCUGGAAAAGGUUAUCCUCCUGUGGGAACGGAUUAGAGUUUCCAUAUAGCAAGGAACUAGGUGCCUUAUAAAGAAAAUCUGGAAUUUGACCGCAGUUAACUUCUUCAAUUCCAUUAGAUCAUUAUGGACAAAAUUGUUAAAUUGUAAAUCUGGUUGCAAUGAGUACUCUGUGACUCUAAUGUCAACGUCCUUCUCAAUUGCUUUCUAAUUAGCACGGUUGUGCUUUGUCUACCAUGCAGAAAGAAGGGUGCUUAUGCAUAUUUCCAAUCAUAAUUGAUGUUUGUGGUGAAUCAUUUUGUUGGAUUAAUUUGUUCUUCCAUCUUUUAAGGUUAUUCAACACGAGGAUUACUUAAUCUUUGUAAUAUGCCUAGCUCAACUUAUUGGGUAGUUUAGGUGACUGCUUUUGAUGUUAUCGAUAAAAUAGUUUGCGCAGGAUUAGACCUUCGUAAAUAGCUAUUUAAGAAGUACAUAGUUACUCUGGACAUUGUGCAUUUGACAUUCUAAUGGAAGUUGUAAUUUUGAUCUAUUAUUUUAUUGGUUCAGCAUUGUUGAGCCUACUUUUGUCUAGGUAUUAAUAUAAGGUUAUGCAUAUUGUGACUUGCUAUAGAUCCAGCACUCAGAGAAGCCUCAUUUUCCAUUCUGGAUUUCUUAUAAUCUUUAAUUAGAGGAUCCUGUUCUUUUUGAAUUUGAAAUAUCUUAAGUUACUUUCAAAAAUAUUUUAUUCAUUCAACAAAGUAUGAACUGAAGCACUUUUAGCCUUUUGAGUACUAUGUUAGCCAUAUUUUGUUUGUCCCUUUUCUGGAAGCUAAAUUUUGCUAAGAAGCAUAAACAUACAUGAAGAGAAUUCAUUUUGCAGAAAUGACAAUUAUUGAGGCGGUUUCCAAUAUAUGAGAGUCAACUCCAUUUCGAAAUAAAUUUUGAGCCAACAUGACCCCAUAAUGAGGCAACACUGUGAGAUAGUGACUGCUGAAGAUUGUGUGUUGGUUAUAUCCCUGUUCAGUACCCUUUAUGGGCAAUGUGAAAUUUUUGUCGAUGACGAACUUCUAUAAAGCUUGGUUAAAUAGGAAGCCAAUGUUUGGGCCGGAUAGUGAGAUCAUAGAGUGAGAGAUGAAUAAAUAAAUAAGGUGAGAUCAAAGUCAAUUAUAAAACUUACUCUGCUCAUAGUCUUUAAUGUUUAGGUUAUAACCCAUCUAGAAGAUGGACCUCAAAAACUCGCUGUUACUUCUAGGACCUCAAAAACUCGCUGUUAUAGUCUUGAUGUUUUGAUUUUUUGUUAUUACCUUCAAGUACUACUUUUCUUUGGCCAGAUUGGUUUACCUCAGAUGGAUCAAUUACUAAAUGGAGGUGUUCAAUGCUGCAGGCCUAUUGAAGAGCCCUAUUUUGAGCCAGCCCUUAUUCAUCGUCUAAAAUUCACUUUAUUCUUGAAACGCAUAAACUUAACCAUUAUUCUUGGAGCCUUUAAGCCAUAGUCCUAGUACUAAUUGAAUCUUUUAUAUGUUGGUAUGGCCUGUUCGGCCCUACUGUAGGGCACAGUGCUGGUGAUGAAGUGCUGUCUGAGUACUACCUUUAGAAGAAGCAUUAUAAUAAAAUCCCUUCAACUGAUUCUCUUAACAGCAGAAGUGGAAAUGCUAAAUAGAGCUUGUACUUUUGAGCUGCGCAAUCUCAUUUUUGACCCACUGUAGUAGAAUCACUGGACUUCUCUGUUUGUCAAAUGCUCUAUUAGAAGUGACUGUUACUGGAAACAAAAUAAAAAAUGGCAAAAAACAGGCACAUAGUUAACAUCGGAUGUUUCAAGAUAAAUAUUUUUAUGCAUCUGAAAAAUUAAUAUGACGGUUUGAUAUGGUUUAUUAAGCUAUCAAGCUUCUAAAAGCAGCAUAGGGCUAUUAUCUCGCAUAAAUUGACAAUUCCAAACUUUAUAGGUUUGGACUAUUCCUCUGAUAAUUCGGAGGGAAUGAAGAACUUAAUACACAAGAAGAGAGGCUAGUGAGCGAGUUAUUGGACCUGAUUACAUAUGAAGUACUUAUUAAAUAACCACCAGUGUUUUAAAUAACGGCCGCUAUAGCAGAUUUUAUGUGCUACCGCUAUACUAUGAUAUGUAAAGCGGUAUAUAGUGGAUCGGGUUCAUAGCGGCCGCUUUAGCGGCAUAGGGUCCGAUAAAGCGGCCGCUAUAAAGCGGUCGGAAAGCGGGCGGUAUGAGUCCAAAUCUUUAAAAAGUGCAAACGGGUUAAAAGAAUGAUUAAAUUGUUAAUGGAUUAUAGAUUUUCAAGUUUUAUGUUUUUUUGGUUUGCUAAAUAUUUUAAAGUUAAUCUUAAAUUCUUAAUAGAUAAUGACAUUAAAUAUAUAUAAGCUUGCAAUACUAAAAAAAAGAAUGAUUAGUUGUCUUUUCUUCAAAAUUAUAUGUAUAUUUUUUAUAAGAAACAUAAACAUAUUAAAUUUACUUUUAUGAAACCUGCUAUGGGUUCAUAGCACCUGCUAUGGCGCUCGCUAUCCGCUUUCCGCUAUGAGACUUUGCAAAUGCUAUGUACCCGCUAUCCACUAUUUACAAUCUUGAUAACCGCCAACUGGAUGAUAACCUUUUUCCUGUGAUUUAUGGACAAUUAUAUUUUGAUAUACAAUAACUCUUUCUUUGUAAAACUACACUUGUCCAUAAGGUUCUUCAACUAUUUAUAUCUGUGAUUUGAGUUUUGUCUAACGUCUGUAAUUUGUGUAGUAAUCCAUUUUUCUGUUUUUUUUUUUUUUUAACUUCAUUAAGUUAAGCUUUAAGCGGAAUUUCUUUAUCUGAUUCAUUUUGUAAUCACCAAAUGCCAGCAAAUUGUACCGCCUGUGAUUAAUUCCUUUCGCGACCAAGACAGCAGAGUUCGAUAUUAUGCCUGUGAAGCACUUUAUAACAUAGCAAAGGUGAGUAUAAUUGAUUUAAUAUCUUUAACUAGAGGUUAUAACUCUAAUAUGGAUAGGGGCCAAAAUUGUGAUUCCAGUCUUUCUAUAAGAGGGAGAGGUUUUGUAGGUCUUGCCCUCAGUUUCUGCUCUUUUUUGGGAGCUUGAGCACGUGAACCUUUUUGAUUUCUUUAAUUUAUUAAAGAUGGUUUUGCUUGCAUUCUCUGUAUUUUAAUAGAUAUUAAUUAUUUACUUUCAUUUUUGCUAGGUUGUAAGAGGAGAUUUCAUCGUUUACUUUAAUAAGAUAUUUGAUGCACUAUGUAAGCUUUCAGCAGACUCUGAUGGCAAUGUACAAAGUGCUGCUCAUCUUCUUGAUAGGCUUGUGAAGGUAAAAUUUUCAUUGACUUGCUUUCUUGAGGGAGAGUAUUUGAAAUGGUAUUUUCUUGUCUUAUAACUUGUUUUAAAUGCGUUACCCAGGAUAUUGUAACCGAGAGUGAUCAAUUCAGGUGUGUCAUCCUGUCCUUUAAAUUAUGGUUUUAAAAUGUCUGUACUUGUUUGUAUCCAUAGUUUGUUGGACUAUAUUCUCUUUUCACUCUCUUUCAGCAUAGAGGAAUUUAUACCACUUCUAAGAGAACGUAUGAAUGUACUCAACCCAUAUGUGAGGCAAUUUUUGGUGGGAUGGAUUACUGUAUUGGAUAGUGUUCCAGAUAUUGAUAUGCUCGGUUUUCUUCCUGAUUUUCUUGAUGGUAAUAUUCUCAAAAUAAAGCUUAAUAAACUAUUUUCACUUCUACAUUGAAAAAUGGCUUUAUCUUUCAUGACUUGCAAAUUCUACGCAGGUUUGUUUAAUAUGUUAAGUGAUAACAGCCAUGAGAUACGGCAACAAGCUGAUUCCGCACUUUCUGAGUUUCUCCAAGAAAUAAAAAGUUCUCCAGUAAGUUUUUCUUGAAUUUUAUGAUGUUAACAUACAGUAGUUGUUUCUUCAAAUAACUUUCUUCUUUCAUCUACUUCUUAGAAUACAUGGACAUGCAAUAUCUUAUUCUGAAAAGGAUGUCUCUCUUACCGACGCUUAAAUAUUCUUGUUUACCUUGGGAGUACAAAAUCACAUUUUCUUGAUUUCUGACUGAAUUAGUCUUGUUGUGAAGACUGUAGAUUAUGGUCGUAUGGCUGAAAUAUUGGUACAGAGGGCACGCUCUCUUGAUGCAUUCACUAGAUUGACAGCCAUAACUUGGGUAAGUUGUGACUUAAGCUUUGUUUGAACUAGUUUUCAUAGUAUCUUGCUUUUUGAAGUUAAAAUAAGCACGUGCUAUUUUUUUUCAAUGAUCUGGAAAAUUUUUUAGAUUAUUCAUAUGUUCUGAAAUUUGCAGAUAAAUGAAUUUGUAAAACUUGGGGGAGACCAACUUGUACCUUACUACGCUGAUAUUUUAGGAGCUAUAUUACCUUGUGUAUCAGAUAAAGAGGAGAAGAUACGAGCGGUAAAUCAUAUUUCUUUAGUUGCAUUAGCAGCAGCGACAUUAGUUGCUAUACCAGUUUGACACUAUUUACGCUUAAUUUUUAGGUUGCUCGUGAAACCAAUGAAGAACUACGAGCCAUUCGAAAUGAUCCUCCUGAGGGAUUUGAUAUAGGAGCUAUCCUCUCUAUUGCAAGGAGGUGGGGUUUUUCUUUUUUCCUUUUUUCUCUUUUCUCUUCUAAUCUUAACCUAGAAAUAACUAGGUCAAACAUUUCUUUUCUCCAGUAGUUAGGUUAAUAUAGUCUUUUUGCAGAAAGAUAGAAAGGAUUCGCUGUUUUGUACUAUGGUAUAUACUUCUGCAGUCCAUCUAACAUCUUGGAUGAUUUGUUGGCUAAAUCACAUUUUGAUGAUGCCAUGAUUCUUUGUUCAGGGAAUUAACGAGUGAAUGGGAGGCUACUCGAAUAGAGUCUUUGCAUUGGAUUUCAACACUUUUGGCUAGAUAUCGAGCUGAGGUAACUUUUCUUCAGCUACUUUUUAUUUGUUUACAUGCUUGUAGUUUAAUCCAUUUAUUUAGAAUGUACCAGUCGUCGUUCUCUUUAUGUAGCAAAUACAUUUCUCUUUUUGUGUUGAGAAGCUUCAUACAGUAAACCAAAAAAAAUUGCUACUUAAAUAUCUUAAUGUUAAAAAUUGCCUUUUGUUUUAUUAUGAUCCGGUUUGAAUCAUGAAUUAUGCACAAAUGUUAUCAAUGUUAAGGAAAUUAAGAACAUAAAAUAUGUUUUAUUGCAGGGAAGCAACUGUGAAUUCCUUGGUUAGGAUAGAUGAAUAUAGAUUGACAAUAGAAAUUCUUACUUGUACUUUUUAAUUAAUCUACAGCUAUCUGAAAUAACAUUGGAAAAAUGUUAUUAUGAAAAGAAAAUUAAACUUACUAGAUUGGAUUAGUUCUCUUUCCAAUUAUAUUAUUUUAGAAAGAAUAUGUAACGAUAAGCAUAAGUUGGACUUGUGCAUGUAUUGCACUUGGUUUGUCUGCAUUAUUUCAGAUGCUAGUUUUGAGUUUCAUUGACAUGCAUGAAACAGGUUUUAGCAUACUUGGAUGAAAUCUUUGGUUCACUUUUGAGUGCACUUUCAGACCCUUCAGAUGAGGUAAAUACUUCAUUCACUAUUAUUGUUGUGCUUUGUGUCUCGAGAAAUCAGUGUGAAUAUAAUGAACUGCUUGAAAGUCAGAUUAUGUUAAAUCUUGUUGCUUUUAGGGCUUCAUUAUUGAUGUUUAAGCAUAACUGAGGGUUGCAUGUAUUUGCAUGAUUGCAUACCUGACUAUCAAUUCGGAGUGUGCUUGACCAAUUACCGAAUAAUUUAUUUUCAAGUAAAUGUCAGUUGGUUACUUUUAUGCUCAUAUAUUAGAUUUGAUGUAGUGUUUAAUGCAGUGAGACAUGUGAUGUAGAAUAUUUCAGCCUCAUCGUCAUUGGUACUUAUGAUUUAUUGUAUGAUCCCAUUUUGUUAAAGUGGUUAGAAGCUUCAAUAUAUGUGAGGUGGCUGUUUCUCCAAGCUAGUUGGUGGAGCUAAUCAUUUGACUGGGUCCAUCUGACUGGGCCUAUUGAGAUAAAACUGUAGGAAUAUAACUUUUCAGUGAUCAUUUGUCACGUUAUUGCUGUUAUAUUAUGUACAAUAUUGUUCCCAAUGUAUUAUUCACUCUAUAAUAUGAUGUUGCGUCCGACUUUCCAUAUGCAAUGAUUGGAGUCUGGUUGACUGGAGCAAUCUUGACUCAUCCAGCUUGAGAUACUGGAUCUAGGCAAGUUUAUGUUUUGGUGUUGUAGAGAAAAAGCAACAAUAGAGAGAGUUUCCAACUUAAAAUAUUCUCCUUAUCCAUUUAUUUUCAGAAAUAACUGUGGAUAUCUGUGUUGAUUGUUUGCCGUUAAAUGAUGAGCAAUUUUAUGCCACAUGUACUGUUAAUCUUUAAUUCGGCAGUUUGCUAUUCCUUAUGGCGUCUUUACCCACUUCUACAAUAUUUGUGUUUACUUUGUAUGGCUUUUGUUCCUUUCUAUUCACCAAACUUAAAAUGUGAUCAAAUUGCUUCUUUACAUCUCUGGUCUAUCCUUUGAUACGUUUUUACCUUUCCAAAAUUAUGGUCAUUCCUUUUUUUCCUUUUCUAAUGAGCACUUGUGUGAGGUAGUGGAGGUCAAAUAUACAUGUAAUGACUGUAUAUGCUUAUAAAAUUGCAUUACCAAUUUUAAUAAGAACGUGCUGUAUAUAGAGAACUGGAUUUAAGAGGAACAAAUUUUCUGUUCUACACUAUAUAACUGACAAUCAGCUUAUUUAAAUAUGUUCUUUACUUUCUUUUGUCUUUUUAUUGUUCUUAUAUCUUUUCACGCUGUUCAAACCUUAGAAAUUUUAUGAUGCAGCGUAGUUACUUAUUUGGAAUGAAUACCAAUUUUGGAAUGAACGCAUUCAUGGGCUUCAUUUUAAUUUAAAAAGACUCAUUUUGGAAUGAACACCUCAACUUUUAAUUUUUGUCAUAAUGCCCUUUGACUUCUGGUCAUUUGUUUUGAGUUGUUCAGUCAACUGAAUUUGGGAUCCCAUUAAGAUAAAUAGCUCAACCUCUCUUCUGUUUGUUAAUAUGUAAUGGUGAACAACUUGAGGUGAUGUUAAUUUUAACACGACCCCCAAUUUAGCUAAAGGGGCUAAUUCAAAUUCAACGUGAAAAAAAUAAUUUGAGGGGGGUUUCAAUUGAAAAGAAAAGUUUUGAGGGAAAUGGGCUAUAGUUCUGUGGCUCUUCCCUCGUUUUAUCCUUGUCUCUAUACAACAGCUGCGAGCAUCUUAUGAAGUUUCUAAUAUACAACAAUGGGAUAGUAUUGCUCGGGAAAUGUUUAAUACGCUUCUUUAGUCUUCAUUGCAUUGUUGCUAUUUUUACUAUUUCACUGGAUGCGCUAAUGUUUGCAGGUGGUUUUGCUAGUUCUGGAAGUGCAUGCCUGCAUAGCUAAAGAAUCUCAUCACUUUCACGAUCUCAUUUCAUACUUAAUCCAGAACUUCCACAACGAUCAUGUGCUUCUGGAGAAGUAGGUGUUCUUCUGCAUACACAGCAACUGUUUUGCCAUUGUUUAUCUUUCGGCCCUUCUUUUGGUUGUUUAUAUAGUUAUCUAAGUAGAGCAGCUGAGUGUAAGAUGUAUCUAUCUAUAAAUUCUUCUGUUAUCUUUCUAGGCGUGGUGCCUUGAUAGUGCGGAGACUUUGUGUUCUUUUGGAUGCUGUGAGAGUUUACAAAGAAUUCUCAAAAAUUCUUGGGAGCGAAGCUGACUUGGAUUUUGCAUCUACAAUGGUUCAGGUUUAUACCAUUGCUUAGACUGUUCCAUUAUCAUAUUUGCAGUAGAAAUCUAGUAAUACUUUUUUUCAUUCAUAUUUUAGGCUCUCAAUUUAAUUUUACUCACUUCAUCUGAAUUGGCUGAGCUGCGUUUUCUACUCAAGCAAUCUUUGGUGAACCCUUCUGGCAAAGAUUUGUUUAUAUCUUUGUAUGCUUCAUGGUGCCAUUCCCCAAUGGCAACAAUUAGUUUGUGUCUACUAGCUCAGGUGAGCAUUUGCUCCGUUGAUACUUGUUUACCUUGCUCAUAGUUCAUUACUUUAACUUUUCAUUUUUUUGAUGUUUUGCUAUUUCUACUCAAAGGCAUAUCAACAUGCGAGCUCCGUAAUUCAGUCAUUAGGGGAAGAAGACAUAAAUGUAAAAUUUUUGGUACAGCUAGAUAAGUUGAUCCGCUUGCUGGAGACUCCGAUCUUUGCUUACAUACGACUGCAGGUAGAUAUUCUCUUUCUGAUCUAUUCUCUGUUUUGUUUAUUUUCGUUGUAGUCUGAAAAUGAAAAGAGCGUAUAGUCGCAUAUGAAAAGAUAAGGAGAUAGGAGGCAGUGAAGUGACUAGAAUUAAUUAAUGAUCUAUCACAGCUGAAGGUUGUAGUAAUUUGGUUCACAUUGUUUGAUUAAUUGAUUUGAACGCCUUAUGAGAUAUGUGUUAACAUGAAAAGGCCAAUCUGCAUACUCUUGUUCUCCAUGAUUAUGAUGCUGACAAAAUGUGUAUGUUAGGAUCUAAACUUAAUGCAUGCUAUGAGCAUUAAAGAUUGAAAUAUGGCGUGGACGUAGAUAACUACUUGAGGUCUUUUCAGUUACACAGGAGUUAAUCACCACAUAACAAUUGUUGUUUGGCGAUUAUAGAUAACUGAAGAGUUAUUUUUGAGGAGAGAAGUAGCAGAGAUAGAAAAAAAUAAUGGGCUGUGGAUAAUGUACCAAUUGAGACCUUUCAAAAUUUUCUUUGAAUGCAAAAUAAAUUAGAUCUGUGGUGCGCUUGAAACUUGCCUACAUGGCAUAUUUCCCUAUAUGCUUUGGUUUGGACAUUGUGAAAGCACAAACAAAAGAUUUGUUAUGUAGCUUUUCUUGUGGCCAGUUUACCUUAGCUAUUUAUAUCACAAAACAUUAGUAGCGUAAGCACCAUUUGUUUUCUUCUUUUAUUGAUCUUUUUAAGUAAAUUGAGUUGAACAUAUGUUUAGUUGCAUUUUUUUUUUUUGUUAUGUUUUAUUAUGGAAAUGCUUCUUAUUUUGAUUCUUUCUCUUUUGGAAAGAAACAUUUAUGAACAAAACAAUAAAACUUGUGCCCCUUGGGAGCAUUCAAUUUGCUCGUCCUUAAAUGAUAUGAACUUCUGUAUGUAGUUGUUGGCUUUAUCUGCCAAAAACUAUUAUCUGCUUUUAGUUUUUUCUGGCUUUUCUUCUUAUGUUACAGUGCAACCUGUAUAACAUGUUUCUGUGUAACAUGUUACCUUUGAAGUAACGAGUCCUGUUUAAUUAUUUGCCAUUGUCAGCUUUUUAUCUUUAUUUUCUUGUGAUAAGCAAAAGUUUCUGGUGAUCUGUUGUGGUCGCUACUUUUUUAUAUCAAAGAAAUUUUCUUGUGCUUCUAUAUCUUUAUUGUUAGUUGCAGUUUUCUCAUUUUAUUAUUGUGGUUAAUUUCUCAGAGGCUUCUUUUAGGUUAUGCUGUUUAUUUUAUUCCCUUCCUGCUGCUGCUUCUUCAGAACUGCUAGAUACUCUUCCACUACUUUGUGUUUCAAAUGGUCAACUUUCAGAUAGAGGCGGCCUUGCCUAAGACAGCUGAAUGAAUGGAAUAAACUCAUGUAUAACCAAAUUAAUUGAAGAACUAGUUUUCUUUUUGUUGAUUUUGCUUUAUCUACCUACUGAUAUCAUAAAACGUAACUUGCCUAGUGUUAAUCCAGAUUGACGGGGAACCUUGACCCCUGGGGAUGGGGAACCCUGUGGGAACACAAGUGACGAGAACGCCCCCAGUUGCUGUCACCAUGCUUGUUCGUUGCAUUGCCCUAUAGAUUUUACCGUCAUCUAGUUGAUUACAUAAUUAGACUUUUAGUCUUCAUGUGGCUGUUUUGGCUAUCAUGGAUAAUCAAACAACUUUCCAUUAGCUCCACUCCAUAGCAAUUUUAUAUAGAUUUUCUGCGCUUUUCGGUCUCUUCUUUUUGGUUUUAUAUCCGACUUCAAAAUACAAUGGAUUACGGGGUCUCAAACUUUCAUUAUCAUAUCUGAUACUAAAAACUCCUAGUGGGAAGAUGUGUUUAAGGAUUAUUCAAUUUUAGAGGGCCAUGAGAAGACUUGAGAAAUUGCCAACUUAUUGUCUUCUUUCAUUGAAGUAACUGCUAUCAAUUUUGUAGCCUUUUCCCCCUUUCAUAAAGCUGUCUUUUUCAAUUUCUGCAGCUUCUUGAGCCUGGAAAACACACAUGGCUGUUAAAAUCUCUAUAUGGCCUUUUGAUGUUGCUGCCUCAGGUAACAGUUUCAUUGUUUUAGUCCACUUUGGGUUUCUACUUUUCAUGAGCUGUUAGCCUGUAAAAAAAGAAGUAUUUGAACAUUAUUAUGAAAGGUGUUAUGCAGGGUGUAUAGCAGUAUUUAUAAGAAUAUGGACCAGCCAUAUUCAUAUGUAUAAGAUUGUUGCAUGUGUUUAAAGGUCUUCCUCCUUUUAAUCAAGUUUCUUUUAUUUUUACUUGAUUCACAAAAUUUAUAACCAUUAUAGACAUACUAUUUGUUGCCUAUACAUAUUACAGAUGAUUCUUUGACCUAUGGGAAGUAAGAGUUUAACUUGGAAACUUCAGAGCUAACUUCAAUAUUUAAAAAUCUUUCUUGUUUGAGGGCUCACUAGAGCUGGUAGGUUUAUAGAAGGUCACCUGCUCCUGUUGAAGAGGAGUGGAGCAAUAGCUAUAGGCUGUAAUUUCCUUUAGUUAUUAUAUUAACAUGGACCCUCUAGAAAACACGUAUUGCUAUUCUGAAGUUACGUCGGCCAAGAGAGAGGACUCUGGAUAUGUUGAGGGCACUGUAGUCUCCCAUUUAUUAUGUAUUGCUCUGGAUUCCUCAUGAAAAUUAUUACUAUAUAUUAGGGAAUACUGCUCUUAAAAUGAUCUUUGAAUAAUGGUUUCACUGUAAGAAGUGCAACAUGUAAUAUGACAAGAAUUGUCAGAUUAUGUUUUUCUUUUUAAUUGGGUCAGUUCAUUUUAGUCACCUAGCAUGUAUAUUAACUAUCUGAAAAACAGAAAGAGUAUGUUGUAAAGCCAAUAACAUGCUGAUUCUAAUUACUUUCUUCUUUGCAUUCUGCUUUAUGAUUGCUCUAUCCAUUUUGCAGCAAAGUGCGGCCUUCAAGAUCUUGCGGACCCGAUUGAAGACUGUUCCUUCUUUUGCAUUGAGUACUGAGAAUCUUAAGCGGACUUCAUCUGAAAAUCCGUACUCUCAGAUCUUACAGAUAGCAGAUGAAAGCAACCGGAACCAAGAUGUUGCCAGUACUUCUCAUGCCAUUGACUUUCCAGCUCGGCUGCAGCAGUUUGUCCACAUGCAGCAACUGCAUCGAGCACAUACGAAAUUUCGGCAGCAAUCCCGCAAUGCAGCCUACUCAACACUAUCACAGGUACAGAGGCUUGCUUAAUGUUGUUAGCAUAGCAUUGCUCUUGAGGUUUUCUUGGCAACUAUAAUUGAUGGAAUUUUUGUUUUUAGUAAACUUUUUAAGUACAGGGGUUGGAAAAGUAAAUUCAUCCCUAACUGCCUACUGUUAAUUGCUAUACUACUCUUUGAGUGGAUAUUUUGGAUUUGGUCCUCUUUUUUUAAAAAAUCUUCUUGUGACAAACAACAUGAAUAAUUUGCCAUCGACCAAUUAUGUAUUUGUAUUUUAUAUAUAUAUACUUUUAUGAGUAUUGGCUCCUUUAGAUUUAUUCCAUCGAUCAUUUUCACCCAUUAGAUCAUACUAUUCAACCAACUACCCACUCAACCCUAGGGGACUACUAUCAUUCUAAGUAGGGACAACCAUAAUCCUAACCACACAUCCCAUCAAUUAACGUUUAAAAAUUUAUGAGUACAAGGAGUUCUAUACUCAUAAGAGUAUAGUAGCCCCCGCCUAUAUAUAUAUAUAUAUAUAUAUAUAUAUAUAUAUAUAUAUAUAUAUAACAACCAUUAGUUAUAUGAAAGCCAAAAUUGCCUCUAAUCCCUGUAAACUCAUUUAGGCAUUCAAAAAAGACGGAAAGACUUUGUAUUCUUAAGAAGGUCACUUAAUCGGAAGGUCUUAACAGCUGUUAUAGGAAAAAAAAUAGCUAAUAUAGGGAGGAGGUGGUAGAGUGGAACAGAUCGAUAUUUAACUUUGUUAUUUCCUUUUCACCAUCUGUAAACACAGUAAUAACACUUUAUGUGGGAGCCUGUGCAUUGUUUUUCUCUUUGUUAUUGUUCUUUUCAGAGAAUUAACAAGCUGAUAUUUUCGGUUCUACCAAAAUUCUUUUUUAUUUUAUUAAGCUGUAACCCGUGACUUACAUUUUUCAUCAUCUUCUUAGCAUACAAAAAUUUAAAAGAAACAAUACAGUGAUGGCUUUUAAUCGCAGGAAAUACAAAGAUCUGAGGAAACAAAGCAAUCUUUGCCACUUCCUGAGAUCAAUCGGCCCCCUUCAUGAUCACCGUGGGGCAUACCUGGACAGUUGCAGCAUUAAUUGUUGUUGGUAAUAUUUUGGGUCUUCUUCUUUUAGUCCAUAUAGCACAAACCUCAACGUCCGAAAUUUUAUCUACUAUGGAUUAUCUUCAAAGGGGGGGGUGUCGAGCGGGUGUUAGUUGUAUAUCUUAUUGGCUGUUAUUUUCCUUCAGAUUUUGCUUUGUUGGUGGUAAGUAUUCAUCUGAAUCCGAUAUGCUCGGCUCCUCAUUAGCUAUUCUUUUUCUUUUUCUUUUUCUUUUCUCUUCUCUACUAGUAAAAUUUCUGCUCCUGUGGUUCCUGUAAUUUUUGGUUUAAAGGCCAUGUGAGCAGAAGUGAACGGAUACGGGUGAUGAGAUUCAGUUGUUUUAUUUUGUUCAGCUGGUUCAACAAUCCCCAAUAAAAGCAGGCCGUGAAAUGUAUUAUGUUUCUUACUCUCUGUUUAUGCUCUUUCCAUGUUAGUGCAGUAGACCAAAUAGCAAAGAAGGUUCUCAAAUAACUCGAGAAGCAGAAGCAGAGCCAGAAGCCGAAAUGUUCUUCUGGGUCGGGAGCUGCUGUCGGGUGCUUAUAGUUUGCCUCUUUAGAACCUUCCGACCCGGUCGGGAAGCUACUAGUAGCCUGCCCUGCUACUGAAACAAGAUUUGAACCUGCAUGGUUUGCAUUGAAUUGAUAAGAAUUUGAGCUGCUAGUACUCCUAACAUGUCAAUGAUAGUGUUCUGGGAGAAAUGGCAGUAUGUUAGCAAGACUUGCUGGGUUUUUGAUGGAAAACUCAUUGAACCGUUUCCAUGGAAGAGGCAUCCGCAACACGUUGUUGUAGCCCGUAUAAGCUUUGGUGGGGCGCUACAGUCAUAAAAGUUUUGCUUUAUUUCCCUGCAACUUCCUGAUGAUUUGGUAACUUUUGACGACAACACAGAGAUGUUGAAAUGUUCCCCGGCAACACCCGUGCUAUUGAAUUGGUUUGACCUGUGCUAUUGAAUUGGUUCGUUGCUAGGGAUGUUUCCACUGGUGCCUGUUCUUUCGGUGGUACUUCAAUUCUAUGUUUCUGAUGUGAAAUUUGUUUCGGUGGUACUUCUAUUCUAUGUUUCUGGUGUGAAAUUUGCUGCUGGAGUUGCCGUAAGAAGUGUUCCUCUACCCCUCGUGCACGGAAUAAAGGCCCUGCAAAAUAAUGUCGUGUGUCCCCUCCGGAGAGUAUCAGAUUCAGAGCAUUAGUUCUCCCUCCUAAUCCAUAUCUUCAUCCUAUCAUUUUUCAUGCUCUUGCCGCGUCAACAAAAAGAGUAGAAAUUAUUGGCUACACCUCGUUUGCAAUGUUGAUUGUGCCUAGUAAGCUAAUUUCAAGCACAGAGAUCUUCAAGAUUAAUGAUAUCCAAUAAAUAUAUAACCCUUUUGGAUUAGAUCACAUCCAAUGGAUUAAAUCGUGACGUUAAAUAUCUUUGUGCCUAAAUUUAGAUUGUGACGGAUGAAGGAAACGGAUCACCUGGUGGAGGCGGUAGUAUUUUCUCUCUUCUUUUACCUGACAAAAGAUGCUAGUCAUGUUGUGAUGAUAAAGCGUCGGUUGCUAGAAUUCCAAAUCAUCUAUAUAUAAUAUAUGAAUCCUCAGUUUUGAACAGGUGGCGAGCUCGGAGGCGCGGGCAGGGGCGAGCGCGGGGCGCGGGCAAGCGGGCGAGCCUGGCGGGGCGCCGUGUGGCGCGGGCGCGCGGGGCGCGGGCAGGCGGGCACGCGGGGAGGGGCGCCGCGUGGCGCGGGCGGGGGCGAGCGCGAGCGCGGGGCGUGGGCAGGCGGGCGCGCGUGGCGGGGCGNAGUUUUGGGACAGGUGGUGGCGACCGGAGGCACGGGCAGGGCGAGCACGAGCGCAGGGUGCCGCGUGGCGGGGCGCCGCGUGGCGCGGGCGCGCAGGGCGUGGGCAAGCGGGCGCGCGGGGCGGGGCGCCGCGUGGCGCGGGAAGAGGAGAGGGAGAGGCGGGCACGCGUGGUGGGGCGCGGGCAGGCUGGCGCACGGGGGGGGGCACCGCGUGGCGCGGGGAGAGGAGCGGGAGAGGAGAGGCGAGGGAGAGGAGAGGAGCGGAGAGGGUGGGGCCCAGGCACCCACAGCCGAGGGGAGAGGAGAGGAGAGGGAGAGAGGAGGGAUUUUUAUUUUUUUUGGCUCUUUUUCUCUCUUUAAUUUUUUCCCUUUAAUUUUUUUAUAUAUUUAUUCUCUUAAUAUAUAAUUAAAAAAAUUUAUAAUUUUUGUAAUUCAAUCUAAAUUUUUAUUUAUUUUUAUAAAAAUUUAAAAUAUAUAAAUAUUUUUUAAAUAAGUUAAAUUAUUUGUAUUAAAUAUAAAUUUUAAUUAAGCCGAAUAAAAGAAUUGUUAAAAAUAUAUAAAAAAUAAUGAAGGAAAUUUACAAAUGAAACAAUAAAAAAUAAAAAAAAUAAAAGAAUAAGAUAGAUAAAAGAAGAAUAAAGGCAAAAAUGUAAGAACAAUAAAUCAUUUUUUCUAAAAAUUAUAUAUAAUUAUAAUAAUAAUUAUAAUAUAUAUAAUUAUAAAUAUAACUAUAUAUAAUUUCUUAUUAAUAUGAUUAUUGCCUUUAUUUUUUUUUAAUCUUUCUUAUAAUUUAUUUUUAUAUUUUUAUUACAAUAAUAAUUCUUUAUUUUUUAGUUAUUUUUUUAUAUAAUUUUUGGCCUAGCCCGGGGAGGGGUGAAGAGGAAGUUUUUUUUUUUUUCUCUCAUCUCAAUUGUUCCCUUAUUUAUUAUUUUUUUAAAUCCAAUUCGGGAACAGUGCGGAUGGGACCCAACGGGAGAGAGAGGAGGGAGGCUUUUUUUUUUUUUCCUCUAACUUCAAUUUUUUUUUUGUUCAUGUACAUAGAAGAAAAUUUAUAAUAUUUUUAAGUCUAAUCUAAUUUUUUAUUUUAUACUAUAAAAAUUUAAAAUAUAUAAAAAAUUGGAUAAAAAAUGUUUUUGAAAGAUUGGAUUUACAUUUCCAUCCUUAAAGCUAUAAGACGAAUAAUAAUUUAAUCCUCAAAUUUUUAAUGUAUUAUGAUUUAAACAAUAAGGUAUCUGAUAUUUUCAUCCCCAAUCUUUAAUUAGUUACUUAUUUUUCAGUUAUUUAUUUUAUAUAAUUUUUUGACUUUUUAUUUUGCUAUUUUGUAAUUUAUUUAUUUAUUUUUAUGAAGUCAUCCCGCAGCAGCGCGCGGGUCCUUCACUAGUUAUCACUAUAACAUGGCGAGAUUUAAAUAUAACACAUACAAUACUUAUGUAGGGUCGUCGGCAUUAACCAUUAAUUUUAAAAACUCGAGUUAUUAAAAAGAUAAACGCAAUCUGACCACAGAGCUUUGGAGAAAAUGCGGUGCAAUUAACCCCAUGUGGCUCCGAAGCAUCCUUGUGAAUUGUUCUUAGGUUAAUGAACGAAUUGGACUCGAAUCUUUUUUAAAAAAGAAAGGUUCUUUAGAUGAGGCCAUUGUUGUUCCUAAAGGUGGUGGAUCUCCUGAUGCAUCAUCGCAUGGGCAUGAUGGGAGACACUUUGGCCAACGAAGUCUUGCGUGAUGGGUACCUGCAGAAUCAUUGGGUGGCACCGAACUGCAGAUCAGGUCCCAACCCAAUCCCAUUUUUGACCACUGAACCUGCAAUAUCCUUUUAUUAGUGGUACGUGAGAUCACAUACCAUGUUUGAGACUGUGGAAUAGAUUUCGGAAUAGGUUAAGAACCAUACACAUGCUUGCACGUGUUCACAGUUCGCAAACAAAAUGUGAGGGAUUUUGCUUGCCAGCACACACACCCUGAAAAAGUUCUAAUUUACACCUGGGGGGUUGUCAACGAACCGAACACGAACACGAGCAAGCUGGGCCGGCUCCUGUUUGCUCGUUUGUUAAACGAACCGAAUACGAGUUGGCUCGUUAAAAUAUGAAGCAACAAAAUGCAGCUCGUGCUCGAUUUGUAUUAUUACUAACAAGCCGAACACGACUUGAUUCACAAACAACAAGUCAGAUUAUCAGCCGUACUGCUACGUAAAAAUUAAAUUUUUUUUUUUUUAGAAAAUUAGAAUCUUGAUCUAAUAAUUAAAAUUCAUAAAAUAUAGGUCUCUUUUACAUUUGAGUUGAUUUAAAAUUCAUAUAGUAGAAAUUUGCAAUAUAUAUAUAUAUAUAUAUAUAUAUAUAGAGAGAGAGAGAGAGAGAGAGAGAGAGAGAGAGAGAGAGAGAGAGCGAACGUUCAGUUGGAUUGCCGGCCCUAGUAACAAUAAUAGCAAUACUAACAUGCUUAUAAAGAAACAAAUUGCGAUAUAUUUUUAUUUAGAGAGAAAAAUAGCAAGUUACACCCUUUGUUUAUUUUUUUAGAAUAAAUUGAGCAUGAAAUAUGAGAGAAUUAGGCUUCGAUUUUAAAACCUCCACUACCAACCAUCAAAUCUAUUAGGCAUUAAAUUCUUAUUGUAUUUUAGUACAAAUGAUAACUGUGAGAUUGGUAGGUGGUGCUGCGGAGAAGUAUGCUUUAGGGACUACAUUCAUAAAUAAAUAAAUAAAUAAAUGAAUGAACAAGCAAUUAUUCUCUAAGCAAAAGACAAUAAGCAACUUGGAUUACUUUACUUGGUAACCAAAUGUUAAUUAGUGUUUGUCCUUGAUAAUGAUUGAGAAUCCCAUUAAAAAUUGUGGUAUUUAAAAUCAGAAUCAAAGAAUACGCAUCCAAUCAGACUUUUUUAGUACAAGUUUUUUCAAAGAUUUUUUUUUUUUUUAAGAGAGAAAAAUAGCAAGCUAUCUGCGUAAUUCAGUUCUUAAAACAAUUAAGUUUUGAAUUUAAAAUUUCAAAUAUCAUCUAUUAAAUUUUUAGACAAUUAGGCUAAGUAAUAGUAGGUGAGUUUUCUCAAAGAACGUAUAAAGAAAUAAUUGGUGUGAAAAUGUCAAAGUCAACGUAGGUGAUGCCUACAAGGCAACAUCUCUCUAGUUUUAAAGAGAAAGAGAUUGAAGCCAUUUGCUCAACUGCUUCUUUCUAAUUAACAAAAUUACAUCAUUUUCUUAAGCCAAGUUAGACUCGGGUCCGGAUAUUUUAUACCAUACCCGACUUAGACCCAACCCAAAUCCAACUUUUAAAUAGGUAGAGUCUGGAAUAGUUUUUAAAUCUAGACCCAAGCCUAGACCGAGUAAAAUAUCCGAUAGUAAAUAAAAAAGAAUUGAACUUUUGAAGUUAAGGGAUCAAUUUUAAUAGAAGUUAUAGAUUGGGGUCUCUACGUAUUUUCAUUCUAGUGAAAUCCUAGCCGCUCAUUCACUCCUUUCUUUUUUCUAGUCUUUUUCUUUUUGUUUUUUACUCAUUAUUUUUUUGUUUCAUUUCCGUCUUAGGGUUUUUUAUGAAAUAAUAUUUCCAUACAACAAUUCUCUACAGGCGUAGCACGGGUGAGUUUUUUUUUUCAAAUCUCUUUUCUAAUUAUAAUUGACAAUCUAGUUUUUUUUAAUGAAUAUUUUGUUCAGUAAAUUUUUUUUAUUCCUCUUUAUCGGGAUUUUUUUUUUUGAAUGAAUUUUAUUGGACUGUGUACAACUUAUUAGAACGUGAGUUCUUUAUAGGGGAAGGUUUAUAGUUUGUCCAUAAACUAUUUAAUAAAGUCUCUCUCUCUCUCUCUCUCUCUCUCUCUCUCUCUCUCUCUCUCUCUCUCUAUAUAUAUAUAUAUAUAUAUAUAUAUGAGCUAGGAUGGUAUACUAUCGGUAGCACAGAGGUCUCCGUGCUACUAAGUUGUUUUCAAUGAUGCAGUUUCCAAAUCGACGAUCGGCUCCGUUAGACUUGAUCUACACCAUUGAAAGUAUUUGGAAACUAAAUUUCAUAAAUUUUCGACAUCAUUUACCUAUCAAACGAGUAGUCUAAAAAUGAACAGCUGAAAAUAAAAAUCUCCUAAAAAAUGAUGAUAAAGACUUAAAUUUAAAAUCAAAGGUACUGAUCUUACUUUAAAUAGUGAAAAGAAUUUUCUAUAAAAAUUUCAUCAGAUUUGAAUUAUUUUAUACCGUUAAAUUCACAAACGCAUCACAUCUACCAUUAAAAUUGUCAAUUUUGAGACCUUUUGAUCACUAGCCAAAUGAUGUCGAAAAAUUAUGAAAUUUAGUUUCCAAAUACUUUUAAUAGUGCAGAUCAAGUCUAACGGAACUGAUCGUCGAUUUGGAAGCCGCAUCAUUGAAAACAACUUGGUAGCACGGAGGCCUCCGUGCUACGGAUAGUAUACCAGCCUAGCUCUCUCUCUCUUCUUCUCGUCUCUCUCUCUCUCUCUCUCUCUCUCUCUCUCUAUUUAUAUAUAUAUAUAUAUAUUAUAUAUAUGUAUAUAUAUAUAUAAUUAUAUAUAUAUACAUAUAUAUUAUAUAGAUAUUAGAUAUAGAAGAGAGGAGAUGAGUGAGAGAGAGGAGAGAGAGUAGAGAGAGAGAGAGAGAGGUUGAACUGGGCUAUAUUAAGUAGCAAAAUCUCAUUGAGUGCCUACCAGUUUUUAGCAUUGGAUCACUCUUUUAUUAUUUUCACAUUGGAUUAAAUACUAUAACCCAUGGGACCACUCAACCCUAGGGGCACAAUUCAACUUAACCGACUAAUAUCAUCCUGACCCUACAAUUUUUCAUCCAAGAGUUAAAACUUUGAUAGCAAAAAAAGCAUUUUACUAUUAAUAGUAUUCCAACUAAUUAUAUAUUAUAUUAUAUAUAUAUAUAUAAUAUAUAUAUUAUAUAUAUAUAUAUUAUAUAUAUAUAUAUAUAUCUAUAUAUUUGAGCUCCUAUGCUUUUAAAAGUAUCAAGUUAUUGGUACUUGUAGAUUUUUUGCCCAUUGGAUUAAGAGAUAUGCGUUAGGAUGAUGUGAGCCCCUUUAGAUUGAGUGGUGUGGUUGGUUGAAUAAUAUAAUCUAAUGGUUGAAAUGAUCGAGAAAUAGACUAACGGUAAAAAACUUACAAGCACCAAGUUCUUGGUGCUUUUACAUACACCAUAGCUGGACUCUCUUCUCUCCUCUCCUAUAUAUAUAGAGUUCGACUGCUAUAUGCUAUCGAUAGCACCAAUUGUUAGAAACUUUAUAAGAAACUAGAUCGUACUUUUGCCAUAUUUGAUUUCUAUACCCGAUUUUGUAAGCGGCAAUCCUUACUCGUGGUUCGUCCUCGUUUCGGUGAUCUGCAAGAAGACGGGACGAUUUCGAGUCUAAUUCCCUUAUCCCCAAGAUGGAGCCGUCACAAACAAUUGGUUAGGUUUAGCGGGACUCCCGUAUGUUACAUAUUUAUAUAUAACUUAAUGUAAGGAUGUUAAAUCACGUCCGUCCAUAGGAUGAUCCAGAUACAUUCUAACCGUAAGAUCUAAAAUAUCUUUAUAGAUCGACUUAAUAGAUUGACCGUAUCUUUUGGAUCGCUUGAAUAUAUCACGUGGGCAAUCCAACAUUCUCCCAUGGCGUAGUGAUAUAUUUAUUACCGUAUAGGCGAUACAAAACUUUAUAGGUACCAACUAAAUUAUACAGUCAAAAUCUCUCAUCGACCAGAAAUCAUAAUACUUUGAUCAUAGCGGUUAUGCCCAAAAGAUGAAACUUCCUUCCAUAUAUCAAAAGUACGAAUCCUUUAAUCAAAUAACUUUAUGAGUUACAACCGUAUGAACUUAUUAUAAGUUCAAUCAAAGUCUCACUUUAGUGCCACAUAAAACUUUAUUGUACAAAAUAACUUUUAUGCGCAUAUGUGGAAACCAAAUAUAUUCUUACUCAAAUAAGGAAUAGUCUUUAAAGUCUUUAUAUAAGAGAAACACUUAAAUUGUAAAUAGGACUCAAGAUACCCAUAUGAUGAUAUGAAUCCUUGAUAUUAUUUGUCGGCAAUGCUUUAGUCAUAGGAUCAGCAAUCAUCUUCUCGGUCCCAUGUGUUGGAUAUCACCUUCUUUUUGUCAUAUUCCUUCAUUAGCAAGAUACUUUAUAUCGAUAUGUUUGCUGCGAUCUGUAACUCGACUAUUCUUGGCAAAGAACACUGCAGCAGAGUUGUCGCAAUAAAUCUUAAUUGCUUGAGAUAGAGUCGACAACUCUUAAACCUGAGAUAAAAUUUCUCAGCAUAAUGCCUGUGACGAAGCCUCAUAGCAAGCGAUGAACUCUGCCUCCAUAGUGGAUGUAGACUGUAUCUUGCUUAGUGCUCCUCCAGAUAUAGCCACUUGAGCAAGUAAGAAAAUAUAUCAUGAUGUGGACUUUCUAGAAUCCACGCAUCCAGCAAAAUCAGAGUCCGAAUAUCCAACCACCUUAAGAUGGUCAGAAUGUCUGUAUGUGAGCAUAUAAUCCUUUGUUCCUUGUAAAUAUUCAUAACCUUCUUUGCAGCUUUCCAAUGAUCAAGGCGCAGGGUUGUUUUAGUAUCUACCAACAUCCCACUGCAUAACUAUAUCAGAUCUGGUACAGACCUGCGCAUACAUCAAGUCCCUACUGCAGAGGCAUAGGGUAUGCUCUUCAUAUAUUCUCGUUCUAAAUCAUUCUGAGGACACUGUUUCUGAUUGAACCUGUCACCUUUAUAAUAGCGCCAGCUGUAGGUGCAAGUUUGCCAUAUUAAAUCUUUCUAGAACUCUUUCGAUGUAGGCUUUUGAGAUAGACCCAAAAUCCUUGAGAUCUAUUUCUGUGAAUCUUUAUGCCAAUGACAAAAGAGCUUCACCCCUAUCCUUCAUCUCAAAAUUCUUAGAAAGAAAUUUUGGUAUCUUUAAGUAAACUCAAAUCACUACUUGCAAGCAGAAUAUCAUCCACAUACAGAACUAAGAAUAAUAUACUUACUCCACUCACCUAAAGUAUAUGCAUUGAUCCACAAUAUUUUCUACAAAUCGAAUGUAGUAAUUACAUUAUGGACUUGAUAUACCACUGACGGGAGCCUGUUUAAGUCCGUAUAUAGAUUUCUUUAGUCUGCAAACAAUGAUUACUUUCAUCUGUGCUGAAACCCUGGGCUGUUGCAUAUAGACUAUCUCCUCUAUUUCCCCAUUUAGAAAUCUGUUUUACAUCCAUUUGAUGUAACUCUAAUCGAAAUGAACUAUCAAAGCCAUGAUAAUUCUUAAUGAAUCCUUUUUAGAUACCGGAGAGAAGGUUUCAUGAUAAUCAAUGCCUUCUUCCGAGUGAAACUUUGGCAACAAGUCUGACCUUAUGGGUUCUAUGUUACCUAAAGAUCCUUUUGGUCUUGACGACCAUUUACAGCAAUGGCUUUUAUCCUUGUGGUAACACAACGAGAUCCCAAACUUUGUAUCCGUCAUAUUUCAUUCUCUCACUUCAUGGCAUCAUACCAUAGUGAGAUUUAUCUCCCUGCUAUGGCUUCUGAAAAUGUCCAUGGGUCUUUAUGAUGUCGAACAUCAAAGUCAGACUCCUGAAGAUAGACUACAUAAUAUCAGGAAUUGCCGAUCUCCUUUGUCUUGAGGAUCUUCUUAAGCCAACCUCUUCCGCAUAUUUUCAUUAUUCUGUGCAGCUGGCUCUAUAUAUUUCUGUUUCUCUUGGACAGAUCUUCAUGGGAGUUCAACUGGUUCAGCAUUUUCAUGCUCUAAAUUAAUUGAUCUCCAUUUAUGGUCAAAUUGACCUCCUGGUAGAGCAACUAAUUAUUAUCUGUUGAUGAUGAACCAGUUGAAUCCUUAUUUCCUCAAAAUCCAUCUUUUGAGGAACAACACUCCACUAGUUUCAGAAUCCUCAAGAAAUUUAGCAUUCCUGGUCUAAUAUCUUGGAUGGUGAUUUGGACAAUAGAACCUGAAUUCUUUAGAGUUUACCGCAUAGCAAUGAAAUAUCCACUGACUGUAUCGAGGGUCCAAUUCUUUAUGUGUGGAAUAUAACCUACCUCAGCUGGACAUCUCAUACGCUGCAGGUGAUUUAAACUAGGUUUCCAUCCUUUCAUAAUCGAAAGGAGUUUGGAAAUAGCCUUUGAUGGAUCCUAUUAUGAAAUAUCACACCGUGUCUUUAGUGCUUCACUCCAAGAGAAAUAGAAGACAAGAGCUACAAUCAUGCUCCUACCAUGUCCUAUAGUGUUCUAUUCCUCCUGUGGAGUCAUUGGCCCACUACCUUAGGCGUGGCUCACGCGCAGAGUCAAGUCUAAAUCCAUAUAACCCAAAGUUAAAGAAUAAUUUUUCCAAUCAGAAUAAUUGUCGCCAGUAGCAUAGGAAUACGAGAAACAUCAUUAAGAAAUGCAGUAGAGGAAGAAGCUGCAAAAACAAAGGAAAUAUUAAAUUUUAUCGCCUACUAUAAGAUAAUAAUCUUUAGAUUAGAUAAAUUCUACCUUCCUGUGGGCAGAGGUGCUACACGCAUAGAUUUUAUCUACUUUAAUAAUAAGACUAGCAGAAAACUAAUUUCUAAACAACAAGAUUUCUGUACCUGUGGGCAUAGGAAAACUCGCUAUCUAGAAAUUCAAUCCACUAUCUUAUUCCAGUCAACAUUCAGAAAAUUAAUUUAUUUGACUGCAAUAAAUAGUCAAACUUUAAUUCAAUAUCAGUAAUAUCUUAUAUAUUUUUCAUUAUCUAUAGGAUGCUGUGGCUACUCCUGAGCAUAAUGAAAAAUACAAAGAACCUUAUUUGACAUUGAAUGACUAUUUUAAAAUAAAUUAGGAAUCCAAAUGAAUUUUCGAGUUAACUUUAAAUCAAUAUCAUCUUAUAAAAAUACUAUAAGUGAACAAAUAUCAUGACUAGGAUGCUGUGGCUACUCCUAGACAUAAUUAAUCUCACAUUAACCUUUAUAUGAUAUUGAAUGACCGAAAAUUUCACAUUAUUCCAUAACGCAGCGGAAAGAUAAAAGUUCAAAAUAAUUUUCUUUACAAUUUUAUGUGACUCAAAAAUUAUAAACUGUAUGAAGUCUAUAUUCUCUACUCAAAUUUUCAUGAUCACCUUAUAUAUGUUUAGAGUAAUAAUGCAAAAAUAUUUUGUAAAAUAUUAAACUAAAUAUACUACUUUAUAUCAUGAAUAAACAAACGAGUAUGUUGUGCUGCCGAAUGUCCCGACCCUUGACCUGGUCAAAUAUUCUCCUCGGGAAGAACGUCGGGAUGCGAGACGGCUACGGAUUAUGACCCUCGAAGUAUGCGCCCACAAAGAAUCAAGCGAUUAGGCCGAUGAAGGAUCGAAUCAGCCGGGUUCGAAAACCUCCACAGUAAAUUCGCUUCGGCAGGAUAAGCCGAAUGGAGAGGGGAAGCCCAGAAUUCGACUAAGAAAUGAGCCGAAUGGCUAAACAACUUGUGAUCCGAUCGGCAGAAAGAGCCGAAGAUGACUUUCUAUUGAAUAGAAAAUGGAAAAGUACAAGAACAGGGGAGUGAUGCCCGUGGGGCAGACAGACUCCAAGUAUAUUCUACAAGGGAGUGAUGCCCAUGUGGCAGACAUACUCCAAAGAUCUAUAAGGGAGUGAUGCCUAUGGGGCAGACAGACUCCAAAGAUCUAAGUUACAAGAACUACUCCUAGGAAAGCAGUAAAUGCGGAAAAGAAAAAGAUUACAUUUAGACUACUCCUAGAAAAGCGAUAAAAUGCAGAGAAAAUAAGGAUGGUCUUUUGUGCGCAGGGGCAAAGACCUCUAUUGCAGGCUUCAAAGUUACUAUUUAUAGCCCACAUUAUUAGUUGGUUGAAAGUAGUUGGGGGGAGUGGUUGUAACCAUGAUCGUGGAAGUUAUACUAACUCCUCAUGGAAGUUACGCUAACUCCUCAUGGAAGUUACGCCCCAAUCUUCAACCGUUCCCGCCUUCUUGUCCUUCAGGCGCCUUAUUGCCGACUCCUGGUGUACCACGUGUCCUUAUUGGCUCAUACGUGGGUUAGGUCGGCUCAAUUUUGGUAUCAACAAUGCCCCCCCAAUAGUCUUUCGAAUGAACAUUCGGAUGACUAUUGGUGCCAAAUCGACUGUUCAAAAGCACAGCCGAGACCCAAGCUUUAGUUUCGCUGGUCUUGGUCGGCUUUAGGAAAACGGCGCUUUAUCAUCCCAGCCACAUAUAUCUCGGCUUCAUCAGCCGAUUCUUUACUUUUAUUCGAUUAGUUCGGCUCUUCUUGAACCGAAUGUUUUUCUAUCAAGAAAUUCUUCUUAAAGAAAGUGGCUAUAUCUCGGCUUCAUCAGCCGAUUCUUCACUUUCACUCGAUUGGCUCGGCUCUUCUUGAACCGACUGUUCUUCUAGCAAGGAUUUCUCCUUGCCUUUGCUUUGAUUUUUAUAUCGGCUCCAUUGCAGCCGAUCGUCCUCACUUUUCUUCUGAAAUUGCUCGUAUUGGGCAACUCGAACACCUAGAUCAAAUAGGUUAGAAAAAUACUUAUCUUCAAAAUGGUCUUUUAUCUUAAAAUGCAGACCAUUUAACGCCAUUUUGGCGAACUCUGAUUCCGGCAUUCUCAUAAAGCACCGGGUUUUGGCUAUUUUGAAACGGUCCAAAUACUCUUCGACCGUUUCACCUGACAUUUGUCGGUAUAAAGCCAAGUCGGCGACCGAUAAUUGUGGCUCCGAUCUAUAGAAUCGCUCAUGAAAUUUUCUUUCCAAUUCGUCCCAAUCUUGGACGGAAUUGGCUGAUAAACUUGUAUACCAAGUAAACGCCGUUUUAGUUAACGACGUGUUAAAUAAUCGAAGUUUCAAAAAUGAGUCAGCGGCCGCUUCUCUACAUUGGGCCGUGAACCGGGCUAUAUGCUCGACCGUAUUCUCGGUCUCAUCGCCCGAGAACUUGUCGAACUUCGGCAUUUUCCAGUUUGCCGGAUACGGAUGCUCUGUAUCUAUAUUUGCUGGAUACGGGGAUCGAAAAACAGGCCGCAUAGCCGGCCUGGCCCCUACUCCGAAGGUAUUCCGAAUGACUUCCUCAAUCUGAGCAUACAGCGGAGCUUGUGCUUGAGCCGAAUUUGGCCCUUGAGGAACUCCAGAAUUCUGUAUUGCAGGGUUCGCUCCUUGCAUAUCAUUAGGGGCCUGCCCCCCGGCUCUAGCCCCUACAUUUUGGGGCUGGUAUGCUGCCAUCGGCGGAGGUGGUGGCAAUCCCCAUGUAAUUUCCGGCUGUUGACCGGUAUUGACGACGGCCGGUCUGUAAGCCGCUUGGAAUGGUGCCCCCUGGUAUUGGGGCUGUCCAUUUACCGGUGUCGCAGGAUUUUGCAACACUGGUGUCAUCAUAGGCCUUUGUAAGCCUGUCAUUGGUUGCUCAUUUCGAGUCAAUAAUUGUCCUAUUCGUGCAAUAUGUUCAUUAUAGGUCGUGAUAGCAGCCAGCACCGCGUCUAGUCGAGCAGUACUUUGAUGGAUAUUUUGAUAUAAAGUUUGCAGGACUCGGCUCAUCUGGCCGAGUGCCUAAGUUAGACUCGGCUCUUGAUGAGCCGACUGUCCACUAGUCUCUCCUUCAACUGGCAAAACUGCUUGACAUUCGCCAGCAUUGUCUGAAUCACUAGGUUGAUCACUCCCAGAAUUUCUAGGAACAACCCUAUUACGUAGAUCAUCAGCCAUAAUUUAUAUAUAACUUUACCUAAAAAUGAGUCCCACCGGGCGUGCCAAAAAAUUGUUGUGCUGCCGAAUGUCCCGACCCUUGACCCGGUCAAAUAUUCUCCUCGGGAAGAACGUCGGGAUGCGAGACGGCUGCGGAUUAUGACCCUCGAAAUAUGCGCCCAUAAAGGAUCAAGCGAUUAGGCCGAUGAGGGAUCAAAUCAGCCGAGUUUGAAAACCUCCACAGUAAAUUCGCUUCGGCAGGAUAAGCCGAAUGGAGAGGGGAAGCCCAGAAUUCGACUAAGAAAUGAGCCGAAUGGCUAAACAACUUGUGAUCCGAUCGGCAGGAAGAGCCGAAGAUGACUUUCUAUUGAAUAGAAAAUGAAAAAGUACAAGAACAUGGAAGUGAUGCCCGUGGGGCAGACAGACUCCAAGUAUAUUCUACAAGGGAGUGAUGCCCAUGGGGCAGACAGACUCCAAAGAUCUAUAAGGGAGUGAUGCCUAUGGGGCAGACAGACUCCAAAGAUCUAAGUUACAAGAACUACUCCUAGGAAAGCAGUAAAUGCGGAAAAGAAAAAGAUUACAUUUAGACUACUCCUAGAAAAGCGAUAAAAUGNNNNNNNACCCAGUACUGAUGUUACGUAUAUUCCUACGUUAUUUGUUGUAGAGGAUCGUAUGAUGUACAUACAUACUUAUGGGUUUACAGGUGUUGAUACGAUCUUCAUUCGGGUUCAUUAGGAUGAUGAUGAAAGACUGAUCAUCACUAGUAUUAUUUGAGUUGUGGCACAGCUAAAGGUAAAGGUUAAUUCCUGGAUGGUUUCCAUCAGAUCGAACACGGCGGAUUCACGGACACCAUCGGGCUGUAAGGAUGAGAACCUUACACAGACAGGGUGAGCUGGGGCAUCCGAAGAGUUAUGGCGUGGUCGCUUGUAUUCAGCGCAUCCGAUUGAGGCCUCACGGCCGAACAUCCCUCGCUGGGAGUGUUCGUACACGCUUACUCGUGUUUACCGUUCGUUCGUUCCAGUUUCAGAGUUCAUGAGAUGAGAGUACGGAGAGUGUACCGUUCCGGUGAUCGUAGGGUUCCUAGAUCAGGUUUCAGAGUUUCACUGCGAGGUUGCGUGUGGGAGCGAAUCACGGAGAAAUACUGUGAAUUCGUAGUGCUGAUUAGUACGGGUUAAGUACAGGGCAUAAGGUUAAUUGAUCCAAGUGAAAUCGGGCCCGGGGGUACGGAGAAAUACUGUAACCGGGUUAGAGUUUAUCAGGUUCAAGAGUUCGGAAGAGAUCCGGGGAUUUUAAGGAUAACAGUGUUAACCGUAUAUCCAAUUUACGUACUCUCGUUCCAAGUAAAGGUGUUAUCCUGGGUACUAGGUGUUAAGAUUGAUCUUACGAUUCAGAGUGUACGUACGUGAGAUGGUGUAUCCCCAGAUUUUAAAGUGAUAUGUAUUAUAUACGUACAAUUCGUAAGAUUUUAAGUAUAAUUUAUGUAAAUUGUACCUUUACGUACUUAAAGAUGAAAUGCUUUGUAUAAACGGUUUAUACUCGUAAAGAGUAUAGUAUCCGAUCCAGUUUGGGUGGCUUGGCAGCGCACGAGGAAGCUAAGCGGCUUGCCUCAACAGGUGCUCAGAGUGUUAUGGGAUUUUCAUUAGUCGCUUCUCUAUGCUUUCGUAAUGCUGGUUGGUUCUCUAGUUUGUAAUUGGAUCUUCGUUUUUCCCGGUUGUAAAUGGAGUUCUCAUCUUUAGAGAGGGUUUCGAGGUUUUCUCUCGAUCUUGGGAAGGUUAGGUUCGGGAUCCUUCUAAGAUUUGGUUAAUUAGAUCGGAGUUUUCGGGAUCUAGUUUUUCGGGGUUUUAGUUGGGAUUUAGAGUAAAGAUCCCAAAGUAGAGGGUUUUUAGUGUUUUUAUUCUUAGAUCUCCUCCCUUUGUACUAUGAUUGGGAAACCUUCGAAGUUAGGUUCGGGUUUUACGGGUUCCCAACUUCAAACCAGGUGGUGAUUCGAGAUGUUCGUUCGAGGUUCAGAACGUUUCCACCCUUUCUCUCUUUCCCCAACUUGAGGUUCGAGGGAGUUCGAUCGGGAGAAGAAGAAGAGGAGUAAGAAGAAGAAGAAGAGAGAGAUCUUUCACAUCCCUCUCCCACUCUUACUCUCUUACUCUCUCCCUUCUCCCCCUUUACCGAUUAUUCGGGUAGAUCACAUUGUUUUAGACCUCUCCGGGGAGUUUUUGAGCUAUAACGUUGUCGGGCUUGACCCGUCAAAAGCGGGUCUCCCUGGCCAGAGAGGGGUCGUCCCUGGCCAGAGAGCGACGCUUGAGCUUUUUGGUCGCAAGCCCUUGGCCAGAGAGGGACGCGCCCUGGCCAGAGAGUGACGCUUCUGCGCGAGCCCCUGGCCAGAGCGGACGAUCCCUGGCCAACGGAGUCCGACGGAGUCGUGACGAGUGACCCCCUAGCCAGAGAGGAAGGUCCCUGGCCAGGGGCUCUCACUUUUGAGAGUCCUGACAGGUCUUAAGGUCAAAAGCUUGAAAAAUCCAGCCUUUUGUAAGAUGUUGGGAGGUGGUUCACACCUUUUCGAGCUUUAUGUGGGUUUGUGAGCUUGGGGCGUUAAACGUUUCCAGGUCACGCAGUGUCACGAUGGUUCAACAAAAGCUACUACGCCGAAGGUUUAGCCACUAGCCGAGGCAAUCUAAACUAGAUGUGAUAACUUUCAUAAACCUUUGAUUUAAAAUCUAAAAAAGCUGUAGUAAACUGAUCACUAGUUUUCUAGAGUUUUAACUGUUAAAAUUACCGGCUACACCACACAAACACUCAAAUUGCCAUAUUUUGUCAGGUUUAAGCUACUUUUAAAAUAUCUUUUAAGAAAAGUGAUAAAUCUCAUUCUAGUCAUAUAGACUAGAACUUAAAUUUAGAAAAUAGUAGUAAAAAAUACUCUAAAAAUAAAAGUCGGCAAGUUAAAAUCUGAUGAAUAAACAAUCCAUUUACUAUAGCUUUUUAAUACUUUAAAUCAAAGAUUUAUGAAAAUUAUCACAUCUAGUUCAGAUUGCCUCGGCUAGCAGUUAAACCUUCGGCGCAGUAGCUUUUGUUGAACCAUCGUGCCUCGGGAGGCACGAUGGCUAUCAUAUCAUCGGAUCGAGAGAGAGAGAGAUAUAUAUAUAUAUAUAUAUAACUCGAGGAUACGAAAAUUUUCAUGGUUCAAUAACCACGAACAUCUAAAAAUCGGUGACCUAAUUUUCUAUACGCCAAUCCUACUACACCCGGGGGAUCCCAACUCACCCACCAACCAACUUAUCAUAUUAGAUUACCAAUUUUUACUAGGCUUCUCAUCUAGAUUGCCAUUUUUUGAAUGUUCGUGGUUCACGAACCACGAAAAUGUUCGUGGUAUCGAUCUGAGAUAUAUAUAUAUAGAGAGAGAGAGAGAGAGAGAGAGAGAAAAAGAAAAAUCUGCAGAUACCUCUCGCAAGUUCUUACUAUACGAAUACAGCCUCGGGGAUGAAGAGCGCGAGCAGGCGAAAAACUGACACCGGGUUUUUAAAAAAUGCUUCCCUGAGGUAACUUGGUCACCCGUCAAUACGCAAGAAGACGUUACCGAUUAAAGUGGGUUCCUAUGAAAGAGCUACAGCCUAGCCUAUGACAGCAAAAUGAUCUUGGGUGCCCCUUAUGUGCACCCCGCCUCCUGCACGUAAUGAACCCGGAGACGUAAAAUAUCCCAGCGGGAUCAACCGCCCCAGAAGCUUAAGACCCGCUGCCCUGACAGAACUUGCCGGAAUGUCUUACCUUCUUACUGUUUUAGGCUGCUAAGUUUUGGUGUAAUACAAGUCGACUAUAAGAACCUCCUUAAUAGCGGAAACCCCCAUUUAUACUUAAUCUGAGUUCUUAUAAGUUCCCGAAUCACUUUCGAACCACAAGACUCUGAUUAUGAAAAGUAAAAGGAAUACCCCUCUAACCAUAAAGAGAAACCCUAUAGUCCCAUAAUCCUCAGUAAGGAUAAGAGCCUCUCUACAUACUUCUCAAGUAUGGUUCCUUGACACUAGAACUAUAGAUAUCACGAUCAGAGUGAAGAAACGAAUGUCAUAUACUCACCGAAUGAUAGUCUUUGGUCCCCCCAGGCCAAAUAAUAUUAGUGACCUAACUAAUAACCAUAGCUCCACUAUAGCGCAGAAGAAGAGCUGGUGCAAACUAAUCGCUACUACUCGUAACAUAACCGGGUGGGUAGUCCCUGUUACCGAUAUCCCGACGCAAGAAUAGUAACACCGAAACGUUUAAGUAAUACGUUAGUCCAGUUUCCCUAUGCUAAGCGGGUCUCCAGAAACAAUAUCGGAGGUUUGACCCACUCCCCGAGUUUCAGCGAGAUCGAGGAAGCCACAAUACGAGUUAAGUUCACCGAAAUCCAGUGUAUCGGAGACUAGGCGCCCCCGGAAGGUUAAGAUUAAUGGCGAAGGGGUAAGUAAAAAACCGUUGCACCUAAGUAAGAGUGAAGGCUCCCUGAACGUGGGCGCAUUUUAAGCUACGGCUUCAAUAUUCCCACGACUUAGCAUACGUCUAGGGGCUUUACAAUGCUAAAUUUCUACGCUCCUAAUGAAGAAUAUUAAGCUCUUCUGUAGUGGUUUUGCUUUUCUCUAGCUCCUAUGUAGAUACCGUUGUCCUAUUUAAGCAAACCGUGGGCAAGAGUAAGCGAGGUAGGUUUCUUCCAACCCAAGUACUUUAUCAAUUAAACCGCCCCCGCUGUCUCAAGGGUCUAUUAUAGUUCCUCAUGGACUACAGGUAGGCAGUAUCAUAGUAUGGUGAUGCAUACCCUUUAUAUGAGGUACGUGUUGGAAUGUUAGGAGUGUCCAAACGAGCGGUUAAACCAAAACUAGUCGUGAUACGAUCUCUACGACUGUUAUAUCAAUCCUAACAACAAAGUCGUCCACACAACUCUCCUAUAACCAGUGUGAAGUAUUUUCAGGCGGUAAAAUGGUCUAAAAAAUAAGGUUUACGCUUAGCACAACCUUUUGGUUGUGUAAACAUACGAGAAACCACCUCCUCAUACAAUCUCGGAAUAAAGAGCAGACCUUAACUAAGCAACCAACUCGUACUUAAUUUGGGUUUCGUUUAAGUGUCUGGGUAGGGAUCCAGAAGCGGACACCUCAGAGCUGCACCACGAGCACUCUAUUCGGCCAAACGAGUAUGUCGAUUCGUUUUAGAGAACCGUCCUAGACGAGUAGUAAGAGAAGUCGUCUGCGUGCUCUAAGGCCUGCAGGGAUUAAGUAGAAACGAACACGUAUUAGCUAAACUUGGGUUAUAUCAUUAGCUAGUCUAGCAACGAUUCUCUCCCGAAGGGCUUCUGAGCUCGGCAUCUCUGGGCUUUUCUGAGGCACAACUACGUAGUUACCGGCGCUGCUCGCAAUGUUCUCUUUUUCCAUUCGUAAAUAUACGUAACAGGAAAGAAAAAGGAGAAAAGAGAAUAAAUAAAUAUAGAGAGAAGAAAAAAAAGAAAAAAAAAGCGAAGAGUUUAAGCACGUUCCUCCUAAGAACUCCUCUUUGACGGUAGUGGUUGUGGGAGACCUCCAUAGGUUAGAAAGAAGAAGAAGAGAGAGAAAAUAAAUAAAUAAAUAAAUAAAAAAAUGAGAAGGAAAAAAAAGGAACGUCUGGUAGAAUUGCUCUUAUGAAUAAGAGAGUACUAACCGUUGCUUCAUCUCGGAGGAGAUCAAGAACGAAGAAAACUUCUCCCAUUACUCGGAAAGAAGACAGAUAAAGAAGAUAAAAAAGAAGAAAAAAAAAAAAUGAUUAAGGGGCUACAAACAAAUACAUCUAGCACUGGCAUUAGGGAACUAACUACGUUUCUGAUAACACCGCCUAGGAGUCCUGUAACGAAGGGGUGCUCCACGGAGGAAAAAUAAAAUAAAAUAAAAUAAAAAAAACUUGUAGAACUUUAUACCCGUCCGGAGGAUUGAUGGGGGGGGGGGAAAAAAAAAACGGCUCUAGCUUCUGUCAUAGGGAAGAGCUAUAUUGGGACUUCAGCUGAUGCUUUGCUGAGGUAGCCAAUCAUUCGUACUAAGUCUGAGCGGAGUUCUAUGCCAUUAGAGUAUUCUGGACAUAUGCUUCUGGUGAGUACACGAAGGUCAUAUUACUACUGGCUAAACGAGAGGAAAAGGGGAAAAAUCACCCACCAGCUUCUUCUACAGAGUCUAUGUUUAUACCAUCAAAGGCGCGCGUGAGAUUAUCCUUUACUCAGGUUCCUAUUACAACUACUAUGUCGAUGUUGUUCUAUAAAUCUCUAAUUCAGACAUUUGCCUCUACUAGGAUAACGCCAACACCCGCAAAGCGGCCUCUUGUACGAAAACUUUCUUCCACUACCGCGUCCAGUAAAUUAUAGAAGGCUGGUACCGCAACCUGUCCCUUCAUCUGGAUGGAACUAUCUAGUAAACUAGCUCUAUCACUCCUGGAGAUUAAUAGUGAGAAUAGUGCGGCAGGUUCUUUUUCAAUGGCUCAUAACACUUUAAGAUAGGGCAUACCCCCAGCUUUAGAAUCCGAACUCAUGCGCAGAGGUCUUCAAUAAAUUCCUUCGCCUUCGAUAAGCUCUCCAACGACGAGUAGGUAGAAUAAGAAGCAGUCGAGCAUAGAACUUCCGGUUCCCCGUGUGCUCAGCUUAGUGAUUCCUCGAGUUUCUAAUACUGAGAUUUUCCUCAAGAAACUGGACUUGAUUCCUUUUUCGAAACUGGAAUGCACUAGUCGUUACGAUUUCCCAACUCCUAAAUCUCUCCUGAGAGCGUCGUCGCGUUCGUUUCUUUCGGCUUGACUUGCUGCUCCAGUUAUGAUAUUUGCUUACGUAGAGAGCCGAACUGAGCCCGUUCCUAUUUCUUCACCGUUACUACUUUCCUUGUCAACUUCUUAAACCUCGCUGACUUCCAUCAGUAUCGUACUGCCACCUUAAGUUAGUGGAAAGUUUAGAGUAUUUCCUAAAACUUGUAGUAACGUCCUUAUAUGCAUUGUAGUCAUGACCAAGUAUUACUGUCAUAUCUGUAUAAAGUAAAGCAUGAUAUUACUUGUGAACAUAUAUAUCCAUGACAAAAUAAAGUCGCAUUAGGAAUGCCAUGUUUAAUUGCAAGUUGUAGCUUAGCAUCCUAAUUAUUAUGCUUUCUAAUAUGCAAUUUACUCGUUACUCUUAUUGUUGUACUUACCCUUUUCUUUUGGGGCCUAGUGGUGCAUUGAGCUGAGGUCAGUAAUUGCCCACUGGGAACUAUAAAUUAUAGUUCUCACGCCCUCUUUUCCUCGAUGUUUUUCAGAGCCUUCCACUCAGGGUGAGGCCAGGGACCGCGGGAAGGGAGUUGCUUCGAGCUAGCUUCCUACGAGGACGACUUGCUAGGUGGUCUACCUCUCGUUGUACUUUUUUUUGGAGAGGUUGAGAGUUUUACCAGUGUACUAGAGACCACCGUUUUGUAUUAGAGGCUGAUACUGUAUAACUUAUGUUUACUUUUAUGUAUUAGGUAUGUUCUAUUACUAUUAGUAUAGAUGUUAGAACUUUACUCGCUCUGAUAUCAUUAGCUGCUCAUUAUUUCACUUCUUCUAUUGUUUUACUACUUGCUUUUACUUCCGCUUUUAUUGUAGACGCCUUAUAUGUGUUGACAUAUGGCGGGUCUGGGCACACUACCGGGAGGGCCUUCGCCGGUCCCGGGGCGUGACAAGCACGGAGCCCUCCGUGCUACCGAUAAUAUAGUAGCCGGACUAUAUAUAUAUAUAUAUAUAUAUAUAUAUAUAUAUAUAUAUAUAUAUAUAGCCUGGUAUACUAUCGGUAGCACGGAGGCCUCCGUGCUACGAAGUUGUUUUCAAUGAUGCCGCUUCCAAAUUGACGAUCGGCUCUGUUAGACUUGAUCUACAUUAUCGAAAGUAUUUGAAAACUAAAUUUCAUAAUUUUUCGGUAUUAUUUACCUAUCAAACGAGUAGUCUAAAAAUGAACGGCUGAAAAUAAAAAUCUCAUAAAACAUGAUGAUAGAAGAUUUGAAUUUAAGAUCAGAGGUACUGAUCUUACUCUAAAUAGUAAAAAAAAAAAUUUAUAAAAAUUUCAUCUGAUUUGAAUUGUUUUACACCGUUAAAUUUACAAAUGCAUUACAUUUACCAUUAAAAUUGUCAAUUUUGAGAGCUUUUGAUCACUAGCCAAAUGAUGUCGAAAAACUAUGAAAUUUAGUUUCCAAAUAUUUUUAAUAGUGUAGAUCAAGUUUAACGGAGCCGAUCGUCGAUUUGGAAGCCGCAUCAUCGAAAACAACUUCGUAGCACGGAGGCCUCCGUGCUACCGAUAGUAUACCAGCCUAGCUAUAUAUAUAUAUAUAUAUAUAUAUAUAUAGAGAGAGAGAGAGAGAGAGAGAGAGAGAGAGAGAGAGAGAGAGAGAGAGAGAGAGCAGGAUUGCUGUGCUCUCAGGAGCACGGAGGCCACCGUGCUCCUAAGCCGUUUUCAAUGAUGGAAUUUUCGAAUCGACGAUCGGCUCCGUUAGACUUGAUCUAGCGCAUUUGAAGUUUCUAGAAAAUAAGUUUUGCUAUUUUUCGAUAUCAUUUACCUAGCAAUCGAAAAGAUUCAAAAUCAAUAAUUUUUAACGGCUGAAAAUAAAAAUCCUAUAAAAAGUGGUGAUAUAGCACUAAAAUUUUCGAUCAGAAAUAUUAAUCUUGUUGUAGAUAGUAUAAAGUAUUUUGUAUCAAAAUUUCAUCUGAUUUGAAUACUUCUACACCGUUAAACUUGAAAACGGCAGAUAUCAGCCAUUAAAAAUUAUUGAUUUUGAAUUCUUUCGAUCGCUAGGUAAAUAAUAUCAAAAAAUCUCAAAAAUUAUUUUCUAGAAAUUUCAAAUACCCUAGAUUAAGUCUAACGGAGCCGAUCGUCGAUUCAAAAAUUCCAUCAUUGAAAUGGCUCAGGAGCACGGAGGUCUCCGUGCUCCUAAGAGCACAACAACCCUACUAUAUAUAUAUAUAUAUAUAUAUAUAUAUAUAUAUAUAUAUAUAUAUAUAUAUAUAUAUNGGGAGGUUGAUGAAAGUUGGUUGAUUAUUACACCCGAUAUUUAUCAUUGAAACUUCGGACGUUAUCUCCAGAAAUGGGGACGCGUGUUUUCUGGUGGGAAUAAAGGAGAUGUAAAAUAGCGAAAAGAUCCUCAUCAGAUUUAGUGGUUGUAACCAUGAUCGUGGAAGUUAUACUAACUCCUCAUGGAAGUUACGCUAACUCCUCAUAGAAGUUACGCCCUAAUCUUCAACUGUUCCCGCCUUCUUGUCCUUCAGGUGCCUUAUUGCCGACUCCUGAUAUACCAUGUGUCAAUUUUCGCUCAUACGUGGGUUAGGUCGGCUCAAUUUUGGUAUCAACAGAGUAUAACAGAAAUUAUAUAUAACAAAUACCAAAAGUUAUAUAUAAUUUUAAUAUAUAGACUUUCUCUAAAAUAAGUCACAUUGUAAAGAAAAUUAUUAAGUAAAACUAUAUUUCAUUAUUUUCAUUAAAAAUAAAUAAAUAAAUAAUGUUGAGUGUUUGUCGAUGCCCCCACAAGGCCAAAGGACCUGCAUGCUUGCGGUGGGCCCCACAGGGGCUACGCUUGGCAGCCCACAACAUCAGCCUUUUUUUUUUUUGUGCUUUGACCGCCACCUAGGCAACCCCAUCACGGGCUGCCUAGUGCGGCCCUAAUGGGGCUGCACAAUGCAGCCCCUUCUCAGCUGCUGACGAUCGGUGCCGCGAUGCGCUUCCGCCGCCCGACCUACCGCCAAGUUUCUUUUUUUCUUUUUCUUUUUCUUUUUUUAUAUAUACCGCAAACCAGGGCAAGUCUUGAGGGGCCACCUCGUACGGCUCUCAUCCAUAGGGGCUGCAAGAACAUGCAACAUCUUAAUUAAUUAGCCUAUGCCUUAUGCUAAUUAAUUAAGAUUCUAUGUACACCUCUAAGGAGGUCGUAUUUUGCGGCCCCUAAUGGGCCAUGCUCAACACGGUGGGACCGGUGACGCCGUUUCUCCGAACGCCGAUCCGACGUUACCGUUAACACAAACCAUCGACGAAUUUAUUUAUUUAUUUUUCUUUAAUGAAAAGAAAACCAAACGGAAUCCGGAAAGAAACGAAAAUCCGGCAAAAGGUUUCGCUCUGAUACCACAUGUUAGAAACUUUAUAAGAAACUAGAUCGUACCUUCUGCUAUGAUUUCGAUUUCUAUACCCGAUUUGUAAGCGGCAAUCCUUACUCGUGGUUCGUCCUCGUUCGUGAUCUGCAAGAAGACGGGACGUUUCGAGUCUAAUUCCCUUAUCCCCAGAGAUGGAGCCGUCACAGACAAUUGGAUUAGGGUUAGACCGGGACUCCCGUAUGUUACAUAUUUAUAUAUAACUUAAUGUAAGGAUGUUAAAUCACGUCCAUCCAUCAAGGACGUGUCCAUAUACAUCCUAACCGUAAGAUCUAAAAUAUUUUUAUAGAUCGACUUAAAUAGAUUGACCGUAUCUUUAUGGAUCGCCUUGAAUAUAUCACGUGGGCCACAUCCAACACNCCUAACUCUAUAUAUAUAUAUAUAUAUAUAUAUAUAUAUAUAUAUAUAUAUAUAUAUAUAUAUAUAUAUAUAUAUAUAUAUAUAUAUAUAUAAAUAUAAUUGUGCUAGAAUACUAUCGAUAGCAAACGGACUCCGUUCCCACCCAUUUGUUUUCGAUGAUAGAGCUUCCAAAUCGACGAUCGGCAACGUUGAACAUGAUCUAUACCAUUUGAAGUGUUUAGAAAUCAAGUUUCAAAUCUUUUUGACAUCAUUUGCCUAAUGAUCAAAGGGUUUCAAAAUUUAUAAUUUUAAUGGUCGAUAUGAGGUGUUCUCUCGUUUAACGGCGUAAAGAUAUACAAAUCAAUUGAAUUUUUGUUAGAAAAUUUUUUAAACUAUUUAAAAUAAGAUCUAUACUCUUGAUCAUGAUUACAAAACUCCUAUCAUCAUUUUUUAAAAAAUAUUCAUUUUCAGCCGUUCAUUUUUGUGUCCACUCGAUGGAUAAGAGAACAAUAUCGAAAAUAUAUGAAAUUUGAUUUCUAAACACUUCAAGUGGCAUAGAUCAUGUUCAACGGUGCCGAUUGUUGAUUUGGAGGUUCCAUCAUCGAAAACAAAUGGGUGGCAACGGAGCCCGUUUGCUAUUGAUAGUAUUCUAGCUCAACUAUAUAU